rnacentral:lncRNA from 1 species
AUUGAAAUAGCUUUUCUGGCUAUAUUUUCGGCUACUCCACUCAUUUCAUAAAGUAUUCUACCUGGUUUAACAACAGCUACCCAAUAUUCGGGGGAUCCUUUCCCUGAACCCAUACGUGUUUCUGUGGGUCUUAGUGUAACGGGUUUGUCUGGAAAUAUACGUACCCAUAUUUUUCCACCGCGUCGUGCAUUUCGUGUCAUUGCCCUUCGUCCGGCUUCGAUUUGUCUAGAUGUGAUCCAAGCGACUUUAGAGAUAAUAAUUACGUGUGUAUAAGAACGUUUUUUCAAAAUGUAAAUAUAGAAAAAUGUAUGGAUAUUGAUUUUCUAAUGCUUUUUGGAUAAGGUUACAAGAGGAACUUUCCUCCACUGGUUGCGAAACCCUUUUGGAUUGCCAUCGUUACAGUGUUAAAGAAAAUGUCCUUUGCAGAUUUUUUUUAUGAUUGAACUUGAAUUUAUCUUCAAAUUUCUCCGUACAGUUAUUGAAAUUAGAUAAUCAAAUUAUCAAACUCUUCCCCCGAAAUCAAAUUUAAAAAUGAAUUGAAGUAAUAUUGAACUUUUAUUGUAUGACUCUAAUACCAAUUAUUGCAUUACAACUUGAAAGUCUAUUUAUAAACUUUGAAUUUGAAACACUAAAGAAACAAAAAAUUGAAAGAUAAGAUUGAAUCAGAUAAAACAGGACCCCUUAAUCCGAUAAGAUUUUUUUAAAAAGAAGAUACGAUCAAAUCAGAUACGAUUAAAUCAGAUAGGUCAUGACUCCUUAUUCUCUAUUUUUUUUUUUUAAAUCCUAAAUCCUAAAUUUAUUUUAACAAAUAGUAAAAGAUUAAUGGUGGAUAAGAAUCCACCUACAUACAAAGGCUAAUUAAAAGUGUGGAUAAGAAUCCACCUACAUACAAAGGCUAAUUAAAAGUGUGAAGAAAAAGUGUAAAAAAUUCUAGCACUUAUUUUAUACUUUAUAUAUUAUAAUAUUAGUAUAUUGAUAUUAUCUUUUAACAUUGAUUAUAGUUGUAUAGUAUUAUUGACUUACAUAAUUAUUAUCUACAUUACUAAUUAGGAAGAAAUAUGACAAAAUAUGGAUUUGUCAGCUGCCAUCGAUCUAAGAAGAAAUUGAAGUUUUCUGUCCAUUCUUGAAGAAUAUAUUUAUUGUCCUUUCUUGCAAGUGGUAAAUCGUGUAUACUAUUAAUCUCAUUUCUUACACCCGAUUGAUGAUUAUUGUGAGUUACGAUCAAGACCAUCAAACGUAGUCGAAAACUCCAUAGUAAACUAAAAUAUUUACAAAGUUUAUUCAUUAAUUAUACUAAUGAUGAGAAUACACAUUACAAUAUUUUUUAAUUAUUGUUAUGCAAAAUGAUGUUUAUGAAAAGGUAUUGCGAAAAAGAUUUUAUAAGACCUCACUAAAUUUUUUAGACUUACGUUUUAAAAAUUCUAUCUUUCAGGACUUAGGCGUUGAGGCCAGAAAGGAGAGGAAGUUUGGGCUUGCUAGAUGAGAAGCUGACAGGUGUUUUAGUUUAAGUUGUUAAUUUUUGGUUAAGUGUUGUAUCUUUAUGUUCUUGUACUAAACGGCUUGUGGGUAGUAAAAAAGUUUAAAGUUUGUUCAUCUAUUCAGCUUUAAGUUCUUUUUCGCCUAAGUGUUUAUAUGAAGUUAAGUGUUUUAGCAGUUCAACCAACUAAGUUAAGAAAGUUAAGACAAGUGUCUUUGGCGUUAGACCGCAUCAAGGAUGCUCGAGUCACACCGCGUCCUUUGAAACAAGCAAGUAGGUCUGCAGGGUAGGUUGUGACCAUUUUACUUUUUUCGAGUAGUUAGUCAUUGAAUUGACUUCUGAUUGUUACUUUUAUGUCAUUUUAUAAUUAGAGUGAUAGAAAGAAAUUUUGAGGUGAAAAAAUGUGUAAUGACAAGUAAAUAAAAUUUAGAGAUAUAGAUAAAAAUGUUUUAGAGAGAAAAGUAAACAAUGUAACUUUAGAAGAAUGAAAGAAAAAUAUUUAUUUUGAGAAAAAUUAGUUAUUUAAGUUUAUCCUAACCUAUAUGAUAAAUAUGGAUCGACACAAAAGCUUAUAAUUCAAGUACAAUAUAGGUUGUGAAUUCCAACCACACGUACCCUUCUAAUUGUGUAAAAUCACCUUGAAUGGAAAAGUGUGAAUUAUUAGAUUAAUCUUGAUCAUGAUAGGUGGAAAAAUUUUACAUGGAAAGAAGGCAAAACAAAUCCAGCAGCUUUAUUCUUCUUUUUGCAUCUUGGAAAGGUAGAUGAGCUUGCAUCAAUCCUCAACAUAACUUUUCCUAUCUUGGGUUCGGUAAAAAAAAGAAAAGAAAAAAGAAAACACUGCAUAGAAACAAAUUAGCAUGGAAUCAGCCCUAAUCAUGGGCACUGGCUUUAAUUUCAACUAGGGCCAUUCCAAGAUCUACUAAGUAAAGCAUCUUUAACCAACGGAAGCACAAAAAAUCAAAUCGGGUGUACGAACUAACAUGUUGAUAAGUAGUUGAUUUAUGCGUUGAAAUGAAUGUAUAAAGCUUAGCGGCCAGAGCAACAAGGAUAAAUCUGUAUGUUCUUGGAUGUUGUUGAUACAGUAGUCAAGCGUGAGAUAAUGAAACCAAGCCUAGAAAAAGAUUCGUAAUCCUUGGAGAAAUGAAUGAUGGUUAACUAAUGUGGGUUUAUGUGAAAUUGUUAUGUUAUAAAUAUGUCUGUUAAGCAUAAAGAAAAGUUUAUACGAAAUGAAAUGAUUUGAUUUAUUUAUGCGAAAAGAUGUAUUGUGAAAUGAUAUUAUGUGAAACGAUAUAUUUAUAUGAUUUUGAUAUGUUUUUUUUUUUUUUUUUGUUAUAUUGAAUCGCUUUCCAAAAUUAUGUAUAUGAAAAAGUAUUGCGAAAAUGAUUUCAUAAAACCCACUAAAUUUUUUAGACUUAUUCUUUCAAAAUUUAUCUUCUAGGACUUAGGCAUUGAGGUCAAGAAUAUCAAAACUGCAGGCGUCAAGUAUUGUCAGUUUUGUAGUAGUGUAAAAAGUUUAAAAUUAGGCGUUUUUGCACAACUUGGGUAAACUUCUAACCUUUAUUGAAUAUUGAAUAGCCGGUAGGAUUUGAGUUUAGGAAGUUGUUAAUGUGCUAUAUCAAAGCAAUUUCAACAAGCUUUCGAUAAGGUUUUAGGUAAACAUAGUGAGUUCUCUUAGAGUUCUUGAAUACCCAUUUUGUUUUGUCAUAAAAUUAAUGUUACCCAUAAUGUUUUGGAUGAAAUGUUGAAAAUUGAAAAGAUUUUAAAGAAAUUUUCAGCAGAGUUUAAGAUUGUUUAGAUGUCUCUUGGUAAGUUCAAUGCUUAUUCUUGUUAACUUUAGAAUGUCCAAUAAGUUCAAACAUUAAGAUAAAAUUAUCCAUGGUAGACGUCACUACUACAAAUUUGGCCUUUUUUGAUGUGCAAAACACGUUAAUAAAUGUCUACCUUGAUGGUCUUUGCCCAUCAAGUAGGUAAACAUCAAGAAAGUCUGACUAUCAAGAAAACUAGGGUCAAAACAUGUCAUCAAAAACUCUUUCCUGAUGGUUUAGGCCUUCAAGAAAAGAGACUUUGAAUUUUUUUACCAAUCAAGGAAACUUAAAUUAAAGCCCAUCAAGAAAACUCAUUUUCUUGAUGGCCAAAACAUGUCAUCAACAACUCUUCCUUAAUAGUAUUGACUAGCAAGAAAAUGAAACUUUGAUGUUUUUUUUCCAUCAAGAAACACUACAACAAAUUUUCCUUUUAAUAGAAUCCAAUCAUAGCAUUUUUAUUAACACACACUAUCGAAACUAGGGGAAAAAAAAAGCAGAAAAGCAUAAUAUUAAAAGCGAAAAAGUUUUCAUUUCUUUUUUUAGGGUUUGCCCGCAUUACGCUUCCCCUAAAUAGUCGUCGCUUUCAUCACACAUCGUCUCUUUGUUCUCUGUUCGUCGUCUCUCUACUGUUCAAACUUCUAUUUCUCGCUUCAAUCUCUCAGACGCAAAUCUCUCGACUUCAUCUGGGUCUCUCUUGGUGGUGGUACUGCUCUUUCUUCGCUAGGUAAUAGGGUUAUUUCGAUUUUGGUACAUAAGUUUGUUAACUUUUACACUUUUUGAGGUUUUGGCUUCAUGGGUUGUUGUUGGUUUUGUUUCUUUGUGAAUAACUAUGAAUGUUUGGGGACUUUUUUUAAUGAGCAAUUUGUACAGGGCUUUGGUUUUGCAAGUGAUGUCUUUCUUAUUUCAAGAACAAAAACAACAAAAACUAGCUGAUGUGUAGCAAUCUCUACAUCAUGUUUUCCAAGUUUAUCAAAUGUUGCAUCGAAUGAACCUGUGGUGGUUGACAUGCAGAGAAUGUUGCAUCAAUUCUUCUAUUGAAUAGUAUAUACAAUUUUAAUUAAUUUUGAUCGUUAAAAUAUAUUCUUAAUUAUCAUAUCUAACAAGUAAAUUUAAAUUUUGUUGAUGCAUUUUUUUUAACAAUGCAUGUCCUUAAACUAUUUUUUUCUCAUAGUUGAGCAACACAAAUGAAAUCAUAUUUUUUCAAGGUUUAUCAUAUGUGGUAUCGAAUAAAGCUAUGGUUGACUUGCGAAACGAAUAUUACAUCAAUGCUCCUAUUGAAUAGUAUAUAAAAUUUUAAUUAUUUUGAUCGUUAAAAAUUAUUCUUAAUUACAUUUUGUUCAUGUCUAACGAAUAAAUGUUAGUUUUGUUGAUGCAUUUUUUUAACAAUGCAUGUUCUUAAACUAUUUUUUUUUCUCAUAGUCCAACAACACAAAUGAAAUCAUGUUUUCAAUGUUUUCAAAUGUCUAUGGUUGACUUGCAGAACCAAUAUUGCAUCAAUCCUCCUAUUGAAUAAUAUGUGCAGUUUUAAUUAAUUUUGAUUGUUAAAAAUUAUUUUUAAUUAUAUUUUGUUCUUGUCUAACGAGUACAUGUUAGUUUUGUUGAUGCAUUUUUUUAACAAUUGCAUGUUCUUAAACUAUUAUAUUCUCAUAGCCCAACAACAGAAAUGAAAUCAUGUUUUCAAGGUUUAUCAAAUGUUCCAUCGAAUGAAUCUGACUUGCAGAAUGAAAGUUACAUUAAUGCUCCUAUUGAACAGUAUGUACAAUUUUAAUUAAUUUUGAUCGUUAACGAGUACAUGUUUUUGUUGAUCCAUUUUUUUAACAAUGUGUGUUCCUAAACUACUUUUUUUCUUACAGUACAACAACACUAAAAAUAUCUACAAUUUUAAUUAAAAUCUUGCAUCGAAUGAAGCUUUGAUUAACUUGCAUAACGAAUGUUACAUCAAUGCGCCUAUUGAAUAAUAUCUACAAUUUUAAUUAAUUUUGAUCGUUAAAAAAUUAUUCUUAAGUUUUAUUUUGUUCAUGACUAACAAGUACAUGUUAGUUUUGUUGAUGCAUUUUUUUAAAGAAUUGCAUGUUCUUAAACUAUUAUAUUCCAAUAGUCCAACAACACAAAUGAAAUCAUGUUUUCAAGAUUUAUGAAAUGUUCCAUCUUAUGAAACUAAUUUGCAUAACGAAAGUUGUAUCAAUGAUGUUAUUGAAUAGUAUGUACAAUUUUAAUUAAUUUUGAUCGUUAAGAAUUAUUCUUAAAUUAUAUUUUGAUGUCAAACAAAUACAUGUUACUUUUGUUGAUAUAUUAUUUUAAAAAAUGCAUGUUCUUAAACUGUUUUUUUUUUUCUUAUAGUCAAACAACACAAAUGGAAUCAUGUUUUCAAGUUUUAGUAAAUGUUGCACCGAAUGAAGUUGUGGAUGACUUGCAGAACAAAUAUUCUAUCAAUGCUCCUAUUGAAUAGCAUGUACAAUUUUAAUUAAUUUUUAUCGUUAACAGAGUACAUGCUAGUUUUGUUGAUACAGUUUUUUUAACCUUACAUGUUUUUAAACUAUUUUUUUAUCAUAGUCCAACAACACAAAUGGAAUCAUGUUUUCAAGAUUUAUCAAAUGUUGCAUCGAAUGAAGUAGUAAUUGAUUUGCUCAACGAAUGUUGCAUCAAUGCUCAUAUUGAAUAGUAUGUUAAAUUUUAAUUAAUUUUGACCGUUAAAAAUUAUUUUUAAUUAUAUUUUGUUCAUAUCUAACGAUUAAUUGUAAUUUUGUUAAUACAUUUUUUUAACAAUGCAUGUUCUUAAACUAUUUUCUUCACAUAGUCCAAGAACACAAACAAAAUCAUAUAUUCAAGGUUUAUCUAAUGUUGCAUCGAAUGAUGUUGUGGUUGACUUGUAGAACGAAUGUUGCAUCAACGCUCCUAUUGAAUAGUACGUACAGUUUUAAUUAAUUUUUAUUGUUAAAAAUUAUUUGUAAUUAUAUUUUGUUCAUGUCUAACGAGUACAUGUUAGUUUUGUUGAUGUAUUUUUUUUAACAAUUGCAUGUACUCAAACUAUUAUAUUCUCAUAGUUCAACAAUACAAAUGAAAUCAUGUUUUCAAAGUUUAUUAAAUGUUUCUUCGUAUGAAUCUGACUUGCAUAAGGAUUAUGUACAAUUUUAAUUAAUCUUGAUAAUUAAACAAUACAUGUUUUGUUGAUGCGUUUUUUUAACAAUGCAUGUUCUAAAACUAUUUUUUUCUCAUAAUACAACACAAAUUGAAUCAUGUUUUCAAGGUUUAGAAAAUGUUGUAUCGAAUGAAGUUUUGGUUGACUUGCAGAACAAAUGUUGCAUCAAUAUGCCUAUUGAAUAGUAUGAACAGUUUUAAUUAAUUUUGAUUGUUAAAAAUUAUUCUUAAAUAAUAUUUUGUUCAUGUAUAACAAGUACAUGUUAGUUUUUUGAUGCAUUCUUUUUAACAAUUGUAUUUUUUAAAACUUUUAUAUUAUCAUAAUCCAACAACACAAGUGAAAUCAUGUUUUCAAGGUUUAUCAAAUAUUUCAUCGUAUGUAGCAAACUUGUAGUACGAAAGUUGUAUAAAAGCUCCUAUUGAAUAAUAUGUACAAUUUUGAUUUUUAAAUAUUAUUUUUAAUUAUGUUUUGUUCAUAUCUAACGAGUACAUGUUAGUUUUGUUGAUACUUUUUUUUAAUAAUUGCAUGACCUUAAACUAUUAUAUUUUCAUAAUCCAACAACACAAAUGAAAUCAUGUUUUCAAGAUUUAUCAAAUGUUCCAUCGUAUGAAUCUAACUUGCAGAAAGACAUUUGCAUCAAUGUUUCUAUUAAAUAGUAUGUAUAAUUUUAAUUAAUUUUGAUAGUUAAAAAUUAUUCUUAAAUUGUAUUUUUCUUCAUGUACAACGAGUACAUGUUAGUUUUGUCGAAACAUUUUUUUUAAUAUGUUUGUUUUUAAAGUAUUUUUUUCUCAUAUUUCAACGAUACAAAUGAAAUUAUGUUUUCAAGUUUUAUCAAAUAUUGCACCAAAUGAAGCUAUGAAUAACUUGCACAACGAAUAUUCCAUCAAUGCUCCUAUUGAGUUAUGUACAAUUUUAAUUAACUUUUAUCAUUAACGAUUACAUGUUAGUUUUGUUAAUGCAUUUGUUUUAAGAUUGCAUGUUCUUAAACUGUUUUUUUUUAUCAUAGUCUAGCAACACAAAUCAAGUCAUGUAUUCAAGGUUUAUCAAAUGUUGCAUCGAAAGAAGCAAUGAUUGACUUGUUGAACGAAUGUUGCAUCAAUACUCCUAUUGAAUAGCCUUUACAAUUUUAAUUAAUUUUGAUCGUUAAAAAUUAUUCUUAAUUAAAUUUUGUUAAUGUCCAACGAGUAAAUAUUAGUUUAUUAAUGCAUUUUUUUAAACAAUGUAUGUCCUUAAACAAAUGUUUUCUCAUAGUCCAACAACACAAACAAAAUCAUGUUUUCAAGGCUUAGCAAAUGUUAUAUGUAAUAAAGUUGUGGUUGAAUUGUAGAAGGAAUUAUGCAUCAAUGUUUCUAUUGAAUAGUAUGUUAAAUUUUAAUUAAUUUUGAUAGUUAAAAAUUAUUCUUAAUUAUAUUUUGUUCAUGUCUAACGAUUAAAUGUUAAUUUUGUUGAUGUUUUUUUUUAAUAAUGCAUGUUCUUAAACUAUUUUUUUCUCAUAAUCCAAGAACACAAACAGAAUCAUGUUUUUAAGUUGAUCUAAUAUGACAUCGAAUGAUAUUGUGGUUGACUUGUAGAACGGAUAUUGCAUGAAUACUCCAAUUGAAUAGUGUGUUAAAUUUUAAUUAAUUUUGAUUGUUAAAAAAUUAUUUUUAAUUAUAUUUUGUUCAUGUCUAAAGAGUAUAUGUUAGUUUUCUUCAUGCAUUUUUUUAACAAUUGCAUGUUCUUAAACUAUUAUAUUCUCUUAGUCCAACAACACAAUUGAAAUCAUAUUUUCAAGAUUUAAUAAAUGUUUCAUCGUAUGAAUCUGACAUAUAAAACGAAAGUUGCAUCAAUGCUCCUAUUGAAUAGUAUGUACAAUUUUAAUUAAUUUUGAUCGUUAAUAAGUACAUGUUUUUGUUGAUGCAUUUGGACUAUGAUAAGAAAAAAAUAGUUUAAGAACAUGCAAUGUUAAAAAAAAUGCAUUAACAAAAUUAACAUGUACUCGUUAACGAUAAAAAUUAAUUAAAAUUGUAAAUGUUAUUCAAUAGGAGCAUUGAUGGAACAUUCGUUCCGCAAAUCAUCCACAGCUUCAUUCGGUGCAACAUUUGAUAAAAGUUGAAAACAUGAUUUCAUUUGUGUUGUUCGACUAUGAGAACACAAUAUAGUUUAAGAAUAUGCAUUUUUUAAAAAAUGCAUCAACAAAACUUACACGUACUCGUUGUACAUGAACAAAAUAUAAUUUAAGAAUAAAUUUUAACGAUCAAAAUUAAUUAAAAUUGUACAUACUAUUCAAUAGAAGCAUUGAUACAUCUUUUGUUCUGCAAGUCAGUUUCAUACAAUGAAACAUUUGAUAAACCUUGAAAAUAUGAUUUUAUUUGUGUUGUUCGACUAUGAGAAUAUAAUAAUUUAAGGACAUGCAAUUGUUUAAAAAAUGCAUAAAGAAACUAACAUGUACUCGUUAGACAUGAAUAAAAUAUAACUUAGAAUAAUUUUUAACGAUUAAAAUUAAUUAAAAUUGUACAUACUAUUCAAUAGAAGCAAUGAUGCAACAUGCUGCAAGUCAACCAAAGUUUUAUUCGAUGCAACAUUUUAUAAACUUUGAAAACAUGAUUCCAUUUGUGUUGUUGUACAUAUCUUUAAAGUUUAAACCCACGUGACCUUCUCUUUCUUUAUCGCACUCAUUUUCUUCUGAAUUUCACCUUUCAUUUGACUCGAUUCUUUACUGAUUUCAAUGGGUAGGCGUGGAUUGUUCGAUCUCGAGAGACAUUUUGCAUUCUAUUGCGCUUAUCACAGCAACCCAAUAAAUAUUUUCAUUCAUAUUCUCUUUGUUUGACCUAUCUUCUUCACUGGGCUCAUGCUUUUCUAUUAUAACUCUUCCUUGUAUUGUUUGCCCAAAUGCCCUUGUGGCUUCAAUACUAGCCUUGUUUUGAAAUUUGGGUUCUUGUUUGCUUUGUUUUAAAUUCAUAGUUAGGAUAUGUUGACUCUAUUGCACUUGAUUAUCACGUUUUUUUUCUUUCUUAGCUUCUUCAUACUUUUCUUUCCAUUGUCUUCUUGUUUAUUUUAUUCUAUUAUUUUAUUACUCUUGGCCCAUUUGUGAACAUUAUCUUUGAAUAUCAAUAUAUUUUCAUAGAGUGCUACUUCUGUUUCUAUCCUUGUUGGGUUUUACUAAGUUUCAGGUGGAAAAUCCUAACAUAAGCCUUAGAUGAAAGAUAUUGUAGUAAAAGAUUUAAUCCCAAACCAUGUGGUGUUUUUAAGCAAACUUGAUGUGACAUAGUUUAUUUUUUAGAAAGAGUGUUUCACACACACAUACAAAAGAGACAAUGAGAGCUUAGGCAAGUUCUACUCUCCCUAAUGAGAGCACUAUUUAUGUGAUUAUUUCUUGUUCAAAUCAAUUUAAUUAGUUCCAAAGAGAUAUUGAUACAUAAUUUGAAGAGUUUUGUAAAUUUAAAUCGAGCUGUGCAGUGAUCAUAUUUAACACCUCUUCAGGACAAAGCAAAAAGAAAUUGAUGGAAGCUGGAGUGUACUCAUUGUGGUAGUCAAGCUCUUCUGUAGCUUAUUUAGAAGGUUUAUCUCUCAUCCUAAGAAAUAGAGACAAUGAUAAAUGAGUGCUUAUUGUGGCAACAAACUUUCUAAUCCCUCAAGUAACAUAACUUCUUGAGCUCACUUUUUAUCUUACAUACUAACUUUUAUAAGUGAUAAAUCUACAAACCAAACUUUUACCAUUCACUUUUUGACAAUCUAAAUGUGGAUUAUUCAAACUUUGGUUUAUGAAUAUUCUCUCUUUUAUUUAUGUGAGUGACUAAUUGGAUGGAUUUUCAUUUUCUUAAGUCAUUUGUGCGUUGUCUUACACACUUUUUGGCAACGACAUUUAUGGUAUGGUUUAUACAAAACUCGGAAAUUGUUUUGUUAUAUGCCUAAUAAAUAAUUGAACCAAGUUUUUGAGAGAUUAUGUUUGUAAGUUUUGAUUCUUUGCUUUCUCAAAUUAGUUUGACGAAUGGUUAAAUUUGAAGACUUACGAAGAUGGUUAUCUCUUCUCUCUUAUCAAGCUAACUUUUAAAACUUUGUUAAACUGUUGUUUCAUUUCCCAUACCAUAAAGAGUUUGCUUUUGAUGACGAAAGAAUAAUGCAAUAAUGAGGAGAGAGGAAGAGAAAUAUUAUAUAUUUUAUUAUUUAUUUUAAAUUCAAUGUUAUUUUAAUAAUAAUAAUUUAUAUUAAAUAUCAUCAUUUAUAAAAAGAAAUAUUAUUUUAGGAAUAACAUUAAUUAUAACUUGUGACUUGCUUAAGCUUAAGUUUCCUACACAAAUAGUAACAUUCCUAAUUUGAGAAUUUAUGGCUAUAAUAACUAUCCAAAUUAGGCUAUGCAUGACUUUCUUUAAUUUGUUUUUAUAAUAACAAGUAUUUUAAACCCCAUAUUCUUUUCUUCAUUCACAAAUCACAUAAGCUAUCCAUGACAUUCCUAGUUAGUUUCACUUAAGGCUAGAAAUACCAAAUUUAAUUGUUGUAUUGUCAUGUCACAACCAACUUAAUAUUGAGUUGGUGUGGUUUCUUAUAAAGGAUUGCUUACAAUAUUUUUUAUUCACGUAUAUGCUAUUUUUAAAAUUUGAAAAAUAACCCUCACCCACUAGGAAUUCUUGGAAUGGAAAAUAACAUUUAACAACUUUGGUAACAUAUAUAGAAAUAUUUAAACAAAUAUAUAUUUUAAAAAGAGGACUAAACAUUGAACUAUUAUUGAAUGCCCAAAACACCUCAACUAAGUUACACAAAUAUGAUUAGUGAGGAAUUAGGUAAAAGAUAAAUUACAUAAAUCCGUAACAAAAUCUCAAAAUAUUUACAACAUAUAUAACAAAAUAAAAAGCCUAUGAAAUCGGCCAUUUCUUUAAAUAUUUCAAGUUUACUCUUAUCACUUUUGAAUUUUGCGCGGCUCCAAUUUCUUCCUUCUUCCUUUUCAUCUUCUUCACAACGAUGGUCAUCGGCGGUGUUCUCCUUCUCUUCUUUUUCUACAAUUUUUCUUUUAUGUUUUUUUUUUAAAAAAUCAUGAUCAUUGUUCUACAAUUAUUCAUUUUCUCUUCCAUUAUACUUCUACUACUAUUAUCUUUGUUUUCAAUCAAUCAUCAAUCUUGUAUUAUUAUUUUCAAUGUGUCAUGGACAAAGAUAAACUUGAUUGUUUACUAUAGGGCUUUUCAAAACCAUCGUUUAUCAUAAACUACAUGACCCUAUGUAUCAUGAAUCCCACAAUCGUGUAUCAUAAACUGCACAGUAGUGUAUCAUGAUCUACAUGAUCGUUUACUAAGGCUUUUCAAAACCAUCGUUUAUCAUAAACUACUUGAUCGUGUAUCAUAAACUAUAUACGAUCGUGUAUCAUCAUCUACACAAUCGCUUACUAGGACAUUUUCAAAAAGCAUCAUUUAUCCUGAACUAACAAUCGUGUAUCAUUAACUACGUGAUCAUGUAUCAUUUUCUACACGAUCGCGUAUUAUGAUCUUUAAGAAGGAGAGUUACACAUGCACGUGUGGUCAAGUGUUGAUAUACCUACACGAUCGUGUAUCAUUUCUACACAGUCGCGUAUCAUGAUCGUUUAGAACAAGAAUUACAUGCAUUUGUGGCUGAUUAAUCGCGUGUUGACUUGAACAUUUUUUGUAUUUUCCAUUGUGGAUCUGUAGGCUUUUUUCACUUUUGAAAUUGUUCUUAUAUAGUGAAAAUAUUUUGUCGGUUUGUUAUAUUCUUUAAAAAAAAACCCUUAAUUAAAAGUUAAAAAGUAACUUCUUUGAAGAAAUUGAAAAAAGUUAUUUCUUUGGUUUAUAUAUAUUGCCUAUAUACUUUUUUCAUAUUAAAGAAAAAUAGUUUUUUUUUUUCCUCACCUACAAAAUUAUGAAUAAAGGCCUCUAUAUACUAAUAUGGAUCUACUUUCAUCUUUCAAUUCCCCCCGCCAAAUAAUAGAAGAAAAGAGAAAAUUAGAAAAUAUUACUUUUCAUUCCAAUUAUGACAUAUGGUCUAAAGUCUAAGUAUCUCCAACUCCAAGCAAAACCAAAAGGAGUAAAAAUAUAUUUACGUUAUAAGUAACUUUCAAUAUUAUCUCAAUAAAGAUGAAAAAUAGUAGAUGUGCAAUAAAAUGUAAUCAUGGUUACAUCGGUUUUUAGACAUCUACUGAUUUAUUCUUCAAUAAACGUAAUUUGUCAUAUCAUAAUUUGAUCCUCAUUUUUCUUUUCUGGUGAGAUGAGGAUGGAAUUGCAAUCAUUACUCACUUAUUAACAUUGCUAAAAAAUAAUAAUAAAAGAACAGUCGUAUUUCUAAUUACAAUGAAAUCUACCUUGUUCAUCGACAUAGGUUUGUGAACGUAUAAUGAAAGUUGGCACCUUAUUAUUUUCAUCGCAUAUAUAAUCAUUUAGGUGUAAUACUUGAAUGCAUUUGAACAAUUCAUUCCAGUCACACCAUAAAACAAAAAUUAGAUAUUAAAAAAAGUAAGAAAAGAGUCUGUCACGUGACCAAACUGCAUGGGUAGACAACUGGGUAUGGUGCAAAAAUAUAUAAAUAGUGAAAGGAUUCAAAACAUAUAGUAAUUCACAUCUCCAUAUAACCCAAAAACCACAUGAAGCGCUCUUCUUCAUUAACUCCUCUUACAGUUGCCUUCAUUCUUCUAUCUCCAUAUCCACUGUGGGUUGUUGCUUCAUCUAAUAAUUACAAACAUCAAGCUUUCCUUCAAUGUCUCUCCUCAAUCACCAAAGUCAUUUACACUCCCAUCAACUUCUCCUAUUUUUCUGUUUUAGACUUCUCCAUUCAAAACCUUAGAUUCUCAAAACCUGAAACCCCAAAGCCAAUAGCCAUCAUCACACCAACACAUGUAUCACAAAUUCAAGUAGCUAUCAUUUGCUCUAGAACUCAUGGGAGCCUUCAAAUCCGAACUCGAAGUGGUGGCCAUGAUUUCGAGGGUCUUUCCUACGUCGCCCACCAUCCAUUCAUCAUCCUUGACCUAAUCAAUCUUAGGUCUAUCUCCAUUGAUGUCAAAAACAACACUGCAUGGGUUCAGUCAGGUGCAACUGUUGGUGAACUUUACUACAAAAUUGCUGAGAAAAGUCGAACCUUAGCAUUUCCAGCCGGGGUUUGUCCGUCGGUUGGCAUUGGUGGGUUCAUUAGUGGUGGUGGAUAUGGGUAUUUGCUGAGGAAAUAUGGUCUGGCUGUUGAUAAUGUGAUAGACGCUUACUUGGUUGACGCAAAUGGGGAGGUUCAUGACAGAAAAUCGAUGGGGGAGGAUUUGUUUUGGGCCAUUAGAGGCGGCGGAGGAGGGAGCUUUGGAAUUGUUGUGGCUUGGAAGUUGAGGCUGGUUUCGGUUCCGGCGACGGUGACGAUUUGCAUCUCUAAUAGAACUCUGAAGGAUGGUGCAAUCAAGCUAAUCUAUGAAUGGCAAUAUGUGGCUGACAAAUUGGAUGAAAAUCUACACCUUGGCAUACUCUUGAAUGGUAUCUCUCUCAAACGGUUUGCUUGAGUUCAUUAUUAAUAAUAUAAUAAGUAUUAGUAGGCUAAACUUAAAGUUAGAACCUGUGAUUUGGAAAUUUUCGUCUCUAGAUUUUUCAUGUGAUUAGAAAAACUCUUUAUGGUUGGACUACUAUUUAUAAGAAUUACAUUUCAGCAAAUCAUAAAGGGUAUAUAUAUUUUUUAAGUUUAAUAGAAUAGGACUACAUAAGCAUACAGACUAAACCCUAACUUGCUCUAGAUCAUAAGGAAUCAAAUUUAAUUAGUAUUGAAAUCCUAAAUCUCUGACCAUAUAAGACAUAGAACCUUUUAUAAUGUUUUAUGUUGAGGUUGAGAAGUUAUUUAAUAUCCAUGUACUUAUACUAAUAAAGAAAAUUAAAUAAAGAAUAUUUUAAAAAAGAACAAAAUCAAUCAAAAUAGGUUUGCAAAAUUUAAGAUUUUAUGGUAUAUUUUGUAAAUACUUAAACCAUUUUUGCAUUUAUAAUAAUUUUCAUUAAAAUAAUUAUCAAAAUCAAUUAACCAUGCCCGAAUGAUUAUAGGAUACUUAAAAAGAUUGUUCUUUUUGUGCCUCAUAAAUUAGUUAAAUGUAUUCAAAUAUUUAAAGUUUAUUAAAAUUAUGAUAAUUUAGUGUGGUUAAAUUACAAGUAUAGUAAUUGUACUUCAAAUUUGUAUGAUUAUUUUGGUUUCUAAAUUUUUAAGAGUGUAUUUUGAUAGGUCUAUAAACUUUCUUUCGUGUGAAAUUAAAGUUUUCAACUUUCAACACAUUGAUGAAGUUUUCAAACUUUAGAAAAUAUCUAAUAGCUAGGCUCAAUAUUCAAUUUUGUAUUUAAUAUAUUGGUCUUGGACAUAAUUUAUUAGAUAUAAAAUUCAAACUUUAUUAAGAAACUAGGGCUAACCUUACUUACAUAACUUGAUGAAAUUAUCCCUUACAAAUGUAUGAGUUUGGUCAUAUUUGAUAUACUCAGUUAUUGAUGAUUGAUUGUAGGUGGAAAUAUUUCAAGUGAAGGAGGCAAACCAAAUCCAACAGCUUCAUUUCUCUCAUUGUUUCUUGGAAAGGCAAAUAAGCUUCUAUCAAUUCUUAACAAAACUUUUCCAAAAUUGGGAGUAACAAAAAAAGAUUGCACACAAACAAGUUGGAUCGAAUCAACCCUAAUUGAAAUCAAUGGCUCACCAACUAACAAUUCCUUACAAACUUUACUUAAUAGAAAAUCUCAAAGCAUUGGAAGUUUCAAAAUAAAAUCAGACUAUGUCCAACAACCAAUUCCUCUAGUUGCAAUCAGAGGCAUAUGGGAAAGAUUAAAAUCUCAAGAUGUAAAAGCAACAACCCUCGAUAUUGUUCCUUAUGGAGGGAAAAUGUGCAAGAUUUUCGAUUUGGAAACUCCUUUCCCACACAGAGCUGGAAAUCUCUACAUGAUUGGGUACUUAGUUGGAUGGGAAAACCAAAGUAAAGAAAUAGAAGAAAGACAUUUGAGUUGGAUACGGGAGAUUUAUAAUUACAUGACUCCUUUUGUUUCGAAAUUUCCUAGAGCUGCAUACGUUAACUAUAGAGAUCUUGACAUUGGAACAAAUACAGAAUAUGGAAAGACGAGCCACGAACAAGCUAGCAUUUGGGGGUUCAAGUACUUUGGUAAGAAUUUUAAUAGGUUGGUUCAUGUUAAGACUAAGGUGGAUCCUUAUGAUUUAUUUAGACAUGAGCAAAGCAUCCCCACUCUCUCACCACCUUAGAAUUUAAUUUUGCAUAAAAUAGCUCAUUAAGCAAUUUGAUAGAUAAUAUUGCUUCAGUUUGUAUUAGUUAAAACUAUAUAAGUUGUCGUGUAACACCCUAGCUAUUAUUAUUGUGUGGGGCAAUAUGAGGGCUUGCAUUUACUAAAUUUCUAAAGCAUAAAUUUUUCUAUAUAUCUAUUUCAAUUUUAUUAUUACAAAUACAACGAUCAUUUUGGUUUAAUGGUAAUAAAUGACGAGAAAAAAUUGACAUAUAAUUAUUACUUACUGCAAAAGUAAGUGACAAACUUAUUUCCGAUUUAACUUAAUCCCAAGUUUGAUUACAUAAUUUGUUUUUACAAAUGAGAUCACCGAUAUAUUAGAUAUUGACGUUUGAUGAGUGAGCUUUGGUAGAUACUACUGAUUUGUGUUUUGUAUCAAUACUACAACUUUCACAACAAGAAUUAGAGAUCUUUGGACGCAUAAUGACAUUUGAAUAAAUAACAAAACGCAUCGUGAUUUUAUGGUUAUGGGUUGAGUUGGAUCCAACAUCAAUUUUGGGUAAGUUAAAUUGGAAAACAAAAUUUAGGUGAUGACCAUUGAUAAUUUUAUUAAAUAAAAUUAUUAAUUUCUUAUCAUUAGGUUUACGAUUGGUUCGUUGGAUUUUAGUUCGACCCAAGAUCUUAGCUAAACUUAUGGUAAGGAAUUUCUAAUACAAGACCCCAAAUUAAAUUGAGAUGUAUUGAAUGAGAUGAUUUUACCGAUUUUGCAUAGUGUGAACUUUCAUUUCUUGACUGGUUAUGCUUAAGUUUGGAUGUAUUGAUGACUCGCUAUGCUGAUGAUUAAGUAUUACUAGUAUAUAUGAUUAACUUGACCGCUUAUGUGUUGAACUGAAAUAUUGUGGAUAGGUUAGAUUAUAUUUUUGAGUUGACUGUUUAGACUAGAUUGAGAUUAUCUAUAUUGAGGGAAACUGUUAGCUUUAGCUAUGGGGUAUUGUACCUUGCAGACAUGAUAAUGUCCUAUGGGAUCACUACAUAUUGUGCAUCAUUCAGGAUCAUUAAACUGAUAUGUGCAUCCUUUGGGACCACUUGUCACACCCCACUUCGCGAGACAACCAAAUCACAAGAAGUAGUACGUAUAGGAUACGAUUUAGCUUGAAACUUUGCAUUUGGUCUUAUUUCCUAGCUCAUCAUCAACUCCUUUUAAACUACAAAAUGAAACUUAAAAUUCAACGGAAGUCAACUUAAACGUCAAGUACAACAAUUAACAUAACCAAAACUUACACUUUAUUAAUAACAGGCGUUUAAUACAACACUUGACUAAAAUAAAUAACAUUAAUCAAAACUUUUAAACACCUGGUGGCUUUCUCAACUCGCCGCAAGCCCUUCAACCUGCUUCUUAAUUUGGCCUAAGUGUCUGAUAUCCUUGAAGAUGAAAUUUUAAAACGUAGGUAUAAAAGACUUAGUGGGGUUUUAUGAAAUCCUUUUCGCAAUACCUUUCCUUAAAUCAUUUUCGUUAAAUUUUACGUUUUAACACAAAUUAGUUUAUUAAUAAACACAUCAUUUCGUAAAACAUUUCGCAUAAACACAUAUUAGUCACAAUCAUUCCUUUCACCAAGGAUCCCGAAUUGUUCUCUACGUUUUCUCUCAUUACCUCAAGUUUAGACUACUAUAUCAACAACAUCCGAGAACAUACAUAUUCGUCCUUAUUGCUCAAGCCGCCUAACACAAUGCAAUCAUUUUCUACAUUGGCCAGCUUCACUUCACCAUGAAGGCAUUUUUUACAUGGCUGCCUUUAAUUUUAUGUGCACAUUACAGUUAGUUCAUUUAAGGAAGCAACUAAUGGUUUGAAAAUCAUUUCUUAAUUAAUAUUAUAGUCAUCAAAUCGAGCUUAAACAUUGUAAAACAUGUUUCAAAUCAUAUAAAUACUUUAAAAGAACACUUUGAAAGAAAGCACCCACUAAACUUAGCCUUAAAACCGAAAAUCUCUUCUUCUUCUUCUUUCUCACGUAGCCCUCUCACAAAAAUAAAAUUGCAGCACUUCAACACUUCAAAAUUUCCAGAAAAAUCUCCCUUACUUAGUCACUAAAAUCCUUUAUUUAUACUACUCUUUAAUCUGGAUUAGUCAUCCUCAAAUCCUUGUCCAAUUGACAGCUCCUACUUAAAACUUUACACGUGUAAAAUUAAUAUUUAUCUUAGUCAUGCUUAAAUUAUUAAUCUUACACAUUAACUCAGGUCAAAUCAGAUUUGACAUCUUCUCGCCAAACCUUUCUUCUUGCCUAACUCCAUUCUGCGAAUAGCUUUAACCGUUUAAUAUAACUUUUGAAGGUUUUAACGUAAUAAGUCCUUUUGCGGACUACCCACAUUUUUCUCGCGAAGACUCUUUCUCUUGUGAGUGUUUAGACUUAUAGAUCUUACCACAAAUCCUUCUUUUCUCAAAACUUCCUCGCGAACUAACUUCUUAAUCGCAAACUUAUACUUAACCAUAUAAGAUUUUAUCACUUAAUCCUUUCUGCUGAUUGAUUCAAAUGUCAACUUCUUAUUACGAAGUCUUAUUUGAAAACGCCUCCUCUUAUCCAGACCGUAAAUUUUAACACACUUAACUAGAUUUUACUUUCUACAUUCAAAUUAGAAAUGAGCCUCACGUCACUAGAAUGAUUAUGUGCAUCCUUCGAGAUCACUAGACUAACUAUAUACAUUAUUCAGGAUCACUAGACUAAUUAUAUGCAUCCUAUGGGAUCACUAGACUAAUUGACGUUAUCUCAUAGGAUCACAAGACUGUUAUGAUGCAAGGUACCUCGUAAUAGGAAGUUAACAGUUUUACCCUUAACGGGACCAGUAGUGGGUCUCUUACUAGGCAUAUUUUUAUACUCACCCUUUCCAUGUUUAAAUUUUUCAGGCAAAGGUAUUACGAGAGGUAGACUGGUGUGGGACAAGAAAGACUCGUGAACGCCAUAUGAAAAUCUUUUUAAAAUGCUUAUGCUUAACGUUUUACCAUUUCUUUUAAGUUUCAAUGAUUGAAAUGAGUUUUAUGUUUAGAACGACUGUUUGUUUCUUGGUGACUUGAAACACAAUACUUUUGGACUUUUGUUUUUGUUUUAAAAUAGGGCCAAAAUUAAAUUUUCUUUUACAUCUAUUUUUAAAAAAAAUAGAUACGGUCUUUUGUGUUUAAAUAAAGUGUCUUUAGAUUAAAGUAAUGACCUCAACUUAGGGCAAGAUGAAAGCUUGCUCAUUUGUGUAGAGGCUCGGCCUGCAGACGCCACGACUUGGACAGAGUUUACAGUUUGCGAGAGGAGACAGCUCUCACACGGACGAGGAAGAAAAUCUUUGUGCGGCGACAUGGCUAGGCUUCGUUGGACGAUCAGUUGGAUUGCUUUCAAGUUAAGAAUAAGAUUUUUCUUUCAAUUUUUACUUGAACAAAAUUUGAGGCGCAUUUAUAAAUAAUAAUAAUAAAUAUUAUUAUUAUUAACAUUACUUUUCCUUUUUCUUCUAAAUACAUGGUAUUUUUCUCUUUUCUCAUAAAUUCCAAUCAUAUCAACUAUUUCUCUUCUCUUCCCCAAACUUAUUAUCUUUUCCAAAUAAAUUUAUUAUAUAUAAUUAAUUAUACUUUCCCUAAAUUUCAAUUCUCACUUUAAUUAAAUAUAUAUACAACCCAAAAUAUAUUUAAUUAGUUUCUAAUUCAACAAAACCAAAGUAAGUCACAUUUAAAUAAUUCAACAUAACACCCAAUAAAUUUAGCAUAAUUAAAUAAAAAUUAAGAUAAUCAAAUACAAAAUUAUCUUAGUUUUUAGACGCUACAAUCUAGACCUCACAAGUAUUCAGAAUGGGGAAAAUACUACUCUAUGUCUAAGCUAGAACAAGUACCUUUACCCAUUAUCUUUAUGAUGAACAUCAAGGAAUCAUUUUAGUAAACCUAAGAAUCAAUAAACACAAGAAAACAGAGAGAAACAAGGUACAAAUGUUGCCUGAAUCGAGAUUAUUAACUUAGGUGGCUAAAAAGCUUUAUAUGAUAAACGAACAGACGAUGUGAUGUCUAAACGUAUACGUCGGGAUUGGGCCCCUAUACUGAUGCUUGCAAAUUAGGGUUGGGAAUUGUAGGACAUUCCCGACGUACUCCUCCCCAACGUCAUUUUUGGUGUCGAAAAUGCUCCGAUUUCUUGUAGUGAUAAUAAACGAACAGAUGAUGUGACGCUAACGAAUGAAUACGUAUGAAGGACAAUAGUGUCGUGGGGCUAUGCGUUUUUGCACAAAAACAAGGUAGUGUCGUGGGGCUUUGCGUUUUUGCACAAAAACAAGGUAGUGUCACUAUGCUAUCUUCAUGGCCAAAAUCGUGUUUCACGUUUCCUUUCUUGGUUGAUGCAAUUAAGUUUCAUUCUUACUGUUUUAGCUUCAUUUUUGUCACUAAUUCUACUCUAUAGGUGCUUAAAAACUAUAUAAUCAAUAAUUAAACACAUGUAAAAUCAAGGAAUACCGUUGUAUUAAAGUGACCAAGAAGAUAGCAUAUUUUCAAUGCGCUAUCACUCUCACGCCUGCACUAAGGUCUGUAAUACAUUGUAAUCACAUUGAUCAUCACUAACAACCUCACUACAAACAAUUUGAUGAAUACAUAACAAAAUAUUCAAACUACUUCAUGAAAAAAAUUUGUCAAAUAUUUCAAACUAAGCCUAGCCAUUUUGUUUACAAGUACUAUAUUUACAUAUGCAAUAAUAUAUGUGGUGGCAGAUCUCAUGUCAGUAGGUCUGUCAUAACUUCAAUUGCUAGUUGGUGGAAAAGAAAUAUUUAAAGAAAGAAUAAAGUCCAAUAAUUAGUUGGGGUUCAUAACAAAUUAUUAUAUUAAAAUUACAAUUCUCAUACCUCAAUAGAAAUUUAAAACAAUAUGAAUAUCGUUCAUGAUUGGAAAGCUAGAGAUAAUUAAAACAUAAACAAAUUCUAUGAAAGUGGGCUCUUAGAAAAUUAAACAUUGAACAUGAUGAGUUGGUAAGAACCAUCAUAAAUUUGUACCAAAAUUACAAGUCAUAAUAUUGGCAUAUAAUAAUAUUAUAACUUAAUACAUGUACUACAGUGUGUAAUUUGAUUUAGACUACAGGUCGAGUAAUCUUAGCUAUAUAGUAGGGAAAAAACGGGAGCUAUAUUACUAUAUGUGUGCUGAUGAAUAAUCUCUAGCACAUAGAAUAACAAAUCUCUAGUACAUCUCUACCAAUUACAACCACCAAUUUAUUUUUCUUCUAUUCCAAAGCUUCAAACCUUCUUCUCUCCAACAAAAUAUUUUUAAAUGGAGUAGUCAAUAAAAAUAACCAAACACUAAAAAGAUUUAAAAGUAGAUCUUACAUGCAUGUCAUCAAAUUCAUGUCGAAAUUUUGAGAGUAGAGCAAAUUAAUUGAUACCUUAUAUUGAUAUUAUUAGUUGACACAAUUAAUAAAAUUAAGAUGCAGCUUGCUUCAAUAUCAGAUAAGUAUUUUGUAAAUAUAGAAAACUAACCCCAAAAUCUUAAUCAGACCAUUCAACCACUUGAAUGAAAAUAAAUUAGCUUCUACCAAUAAUACAAUUAAAAGUCAUUAUAUGUCAGUUCAUAUAUAUAUGUGUCUGAUAUAGGAUGAGUUUAGAAUACAUUAUUUUCUAGUACUGUUUAAUUAAAAAAAUUAACAAGUUAUCUUACAAAUAAUAUUGAAGUUUUUGAGAUAACCACUUAAAAUGGUUUUGAAUCGUCUUCUAAAUAGUUUCUAUCAAAAAAUAAUUUAAAUAAAAACAUUUUUUUUUAAAGCUCCAAUUGUUUCUGGAGUCAAUCAAGACAAAUCCAUAUUAUACCUUUAUUUUGAUUCAUCAUUUCAAAAGUUAGUGUUCAGUGAAUCUCAUACUCAUUUUGAUUUCAUGCGCUAUCAAAGGAGGUAACAAAUUUGGCGAUAAGAAAUGUAUCUAUAUAACAUAUAAACAUUGUAAUUAUCUCCAUAUUUUCAACAUGUGAGAUCUCAACAUAUUUUGAUCAAACUGUGUUGUGUUCGUUCUUUUGUACACUGUUCAAUCUUUCUCCUACAGUAGUUUUCCACAUAACAAACUGUUGCAGCUGUAUGUUUGUUGGAUUAGAGUGAAAUCAAAGAAAAAGAAUGUAUUCAAAUAUUAAAGCUUAAACGUUGUAUGUCGAUGGUAUACACAUGGUAACAUAGUUUAAUCUAAAUCCCAAGUUUUGGUGUGGUUGAAUGAUGAUGUUUGGGAUCUGCUACAUAACACAUAUUAUUUUAAACUAUUUAUUAAAAAAAUGUCCACUUCACAACAACCUCUAGUGGGGUUGUUAGAAAGUCUCUCGGGAGAGUUAAAUAUUAACGAAAAAUGAUGAAUAAUUUGACUUAUUUUAACAUUUUUAGGUCAAAAAGUUAUUAUGAGUUUAAAGUUAAAAAGAAAAAAGAAAAUAAAUAUAGAAUAAAUAAACAAACAUUGCUUUAUAGAAAAGCAAAAGAUUUUGCCAUGUUUUGUGCACAAUCCAACAGACAAAAGAUGGUAAUAAUAAACAAUAUAUAAACAAAAUCAAAUUCCCUUUAUCCCAUUUGGUAAUUAGUCUCUCAAGUAAUGAUUGCUUGCAAUUAUUGACAAUCAAAUCAGACUCUUCACUUUCAAUUGUAGUAAACAAAAAAAAAACCUCUAACUAUGCAAAAAUACCAAGUUUUCAAUAUAUUCGUUGUUUUACACCUUUGUUAAAAUAAUUGUUACUUUCUAGUUAAAUUCAAAAAAAAACCUAUCACAAAAUUUUAUAAAACAAUUUUAGUUUUUAUAGAUUUCAACUUAGUUUGAUUGUUGAGAUUAUAGAUGGUAGUCAGAUUUAGUCAUAAAUUCAGAUCGACUAAAUGAGUAAAAUCGAAUCAAACAUACUAAGCAUGUAAAAUUUUCUAAUAAAUAAUUCAUGAUGAUAGGUGAGUGAACGAGAAAGUAAAUUGCAUAAAACAAAAGAAAUUAAAAUGUAUUCAAUCACUAAAAAGCCCUAACUCUCAAAGUCUUCCUAUUGAUCAAGACAUUUGACUAUGGAAAUCCCAUUACUUAAAAUCAUGGAUUGCUAACACCUUGCCAAUUUAAUUAGAAAAGGAACACGAACACGGCUUUGGCAAGUGUGCAAUGAAGUUUUUCCCUUUAAACCCAUUGUUUCUUAUCAGCUUCACUAUUGUAUCUUUAUUUUCAACACAAUGGUCAACAGCUUCAUCUUACAAAAAUAAAGAUUUUCUUCAAUGUCUCUCCAUCCAUUCUACACACAUUCCAAUAUACACUCCAAUCAAUUCUUCAUAUUCUUCCAUUUUGAGAUCUUAUGCUCAAAAUUCUAGAUUCUCAACACAAUACAAAACCCUAAAACCCCUUGUCAUCAUCAAACCAUCUCAUGUUUCCCACCUUCAAUCUACCGUGAUUUGUUCCAAAAGCCAUGACUUGCAAAUCCGAAUCCGUAGCGGUGGCCAUGACACUGAAGGCCUUUCUUACAUCUCCGACCUCCCAUUUGUUGUCGUCGACCUAAUAAAUCUCAAGUCUAUCGAAGUUGACACCACAAACAACACUGCAUGGGUUCAGUCUGGUGCAACAAUAGGUGAACUUUACUACAGAAUCGCUGAGAAAAGUCGAACCCUAGCAUUCCCAGCAGGUGUCUGCCCGACCGUGGGCAUUGGAGGGCACUUCAGCGGCGGUGGAUACGGGUGGUUGAUGCGAAAAUAUGGUCUUGCUGCCGAUAAUGUAAUCGAUGCUUAUUUGGUUGAUGCUAAUGGGGGGGUUUUCGAUAGGGAGGCAAUGGGAGAGGAUUUGUUUUGGGCCAUUCGAGGGGGCGGAGGAGGGAGCUUUGGGAUCGUUGUAGGGUGGAAGGUGAAAUUGGUUAGAGUUCCACCCAUUGUGACAACUUGCAGGCUGGACAAAUCCUUGGACAAGAAUACAAAGAAGAUUGUAUAUCAAUGGCAGUAUGUAGCUAACAGAAUGGAGGAAAAACUACUCAUUGGCAUCAAUUUGACUGGUAAUUGCUUUGAUAACAUCAACAUUAACUUACAAUUCAAUAAAAAUAUCUCAAAUAAGUUAACACAGUUAUACCACUCAACAUAAUAUAUAACUUAUUUCUUUUUCAUUAUAUAAAACAGGAGAGUAGUCCAACAAAGCCACUAUUACGAUAAACCUUUUUAAUCAUAUUAUAAAAUGAAAAAUGUAGCAUAUUCACACUUAAGGUUACUGUUUUAAAUAUAAUUAAUAAAAUUUAGGUGUUUAUCUCCAUUAUUUCUUUAUCAAAAGUACUUCCAUGCAUCUUUAAUUCAUUGCAUUUAUCUUUUACUGUAACUCACUCUAAUCACACAACCUAAUAAAUUAAACAACAUAGAUACAACUUAGGAUACUUUAAGUAUUUUUGCCGUUGGUUUCUUUCUUUAACUAAAUAUUUGAAUUCUUAGUAAAAAUUCUAAUUUUUAUUUUCUUUAUAACUUUCAAAACAUUGUUUGAAUUUGUAAACCACUCGUUGAGACAAUGAAAUAAUGAGAAUAAUAACCAAGCAAUAUAAAAAGAGAUAGUGUUUUUAUAAGCUUAAUUUUUAAAAACAAAGAAAUUAAGUGAAUUUAAAUUUAUUUUUAGUUUUCUCCCAGUUUAUCUAUCAUGGUUUUCAUUCAUUUAAAAAAGAUUACCUAGAUCGAAUUCUUGAAAAUGGAAGGUUUUGAAGACCAUGUUUUUUUUAUUUUUAAAAUUUUACAUGACCUUUUCAAUCACAAAAAUACGAAGCGAUUAACAAUGUAUAGAGACUUAUGGGUGAAGUAUGUUUAUAGCUAAAUUUUAAAAAACUAAAAAUUUAAAAGGAAUGUCGCUAAAGUAGGGGAUAUAAAAAUUUAGAACCAGCUCUCAAAGUCAUCAAUGAAUCAUAUGACUUAGUAUAAACUAUAAUGAUAUAUAUAGACCAUAUCACAAAUAAGAAUUUGUCAAUAAAGGAGAAAUUUUUAAACUUAGCAAAUUUUACAAAAUAUUUAUAACCUAUAUCAAAUUAGUGAUUGAUAUACUAUAGUGAUAGAAAAUUAUCAUGGAUAUAAUUCAAAUUUUAUAAAUAUUUUAAUUUAUUUUGCUAUUUUAAAAAAUGUACAAAUCUAUCAUCAAAAGAUUAUAUUUUAUUAUAUUUACUAUUAAAAAAAAAAAAAAGUUCGUAGUUAUCUCACACCAACUACCCUAAAUUUAAAAUUUUAGGUUUUUUUCCAUCUUGAUUAAGCCAAAGAAAUUAAACUCAAUCUAAUAUCUGAUCAAUCUUAAUUUUAUCAAAUUAAAUAUUCAAAUUCUAAUUCCAAGUAUACUUGAAUGAUAGGUGGGAAUCCAACUAAAGGAGUCAAAAGAAAUCCAACUGCUUCAUUCUUCUCUUUAUAUCUUGGAAAGACAGACAAACUUGUUACAAUCAUGAACACAACACUCCCUAACUUGGGAUUAACAAAGGCUAAUUGCAAGGAAACAAGUUGGAUACAAUCAACUCUCAUUGCAGCUGGUUUUACAAAUGGACAACCCUUGGAAAUUUUGCUGUCCAAACCUACUCUCAGUAACAACAUAAGCUACAAAAUCAAAUCAGACUAUGUGAAACAACCAAUUUCUCAACAUGCAUUCAAGGGAAUAUGGGACAGAUUAAAAUCUCAAGAAGUAGAAACAUCACAACUUUUUUUGUUUCCUUACGGUGGGAAAAUGAGCAAUAUUUCUUCAUCAAAGACUCCGUUUUCACAUAGAGCUGAAUUUCUUUACAAAAUCUCAUACACUGUUGGGUGGGCAGAACAAGGCAGUGGUGCAAAUGAGAGACAUUUAAAUUGGAUACGUGAGUUUUAUAGUUUCAUGACUCCUUUUGUUUCGAAUUCACCCAGAGCUGCUUAUGUCAAUUACAGAGAUCUUGAUAUUGGAACGAAUAAUAAGUAUGGAAAGACGAGCUACGAGGAAGCAAGUAUUUGGGGAUUGAAGUAUUUUGGGAACAAUUUCAAAAAGCUUGUGCAAGUGAAGACUACGGUUGACCCUUCAAAUUUCUUUAGGCAUGAGCAAAGCAUACCACCUCUCACACUCUCCUAGGGUUGAUGUUAUUAAUUUCCAUGUGUGUUUGUCCAAUCCCCAACUUUUUGUUUGUAUUGCAAAAUAAGAGGUGCGUGAGAGCUGGCUUUCUUUAUGUGUGAUUGUUAAUUAAGUAAGUCCACGUUCAUGGAAGAAAAAAGUUAUUGAUUUUCGAGUUUUCAUUUGAAUUUGAUUUUGACUUUUGGAGUACGUGAAUGUUAGAUCUAUCAAAUUCAUUUUAAAAACUACUUCAUAAAAAAUUAACUAGUUCUAAACUAUUGUAAAUGAUAAAAAAAAAUUAAGAAAUACUUACAAAUUUAGCAAUUAAAUUUAAAAUAAUUAAGUAUAUAACAACAUUUUAAAAAAAUUACAAAUAUAACAAAAUUUGUCAAAUUCUAUCAAUGAUAUAAAUAAGUCUAUCGGUUGUAAAUUGGUCUAUCACUAAUAGAUCAUACGAGUCUAUCAGCGAUAGUUUUGCUAUAUUUGCAUUUUUUUUAAUAUUGCUUUAUCUUUAAUUAUUAUUCCUCAAAUGACCGUUAAUUAACAUUACCUUUAUAAAAUAUAUAUAUUAAUAUUUUAAACUGUAUUAAUGAUAAAAAGAAAAUGUUAUCUAAUAUAAAUGUUAUAUUUUAUAAAUAUUUUAAUUCAUUUCAUAGUUUAUGAUUGUAUUGUCCCCAUGAAUUAUGUUUUAAAAAAUUAUAUGAAAUAUAUAAUAUCAAUCCUCACAUCUAAUCCAAACAACUUUUUUAUUUAUUUCAAUAUUUAAUGAUGCUUCACUGUAAACGAGAAUACUUUUUAAACAUAAUUUAAUUGAUUUUGUCUGAGUCAUUUGUGUAAUGAAACAAUGCAAAUACAUGAGAAAUAGUCAAACUAAUGAGAUUUGUUCUAACACACCAUGGGGCUUUGUUUGGAGUCCGGCCGUAAUAUAUUGAGAAUAUAAAAGUGUUGCACAUCUCACCAUGUGAAAAUCUGUUGACAUAAAAUGUUUGUGAUGGGUUCGAAUUUUCUUAACCAUAAAAUGGCACAUGGUUCCAUACUAAAAUUAAUAUUCUAUGCUGAAAUAUAAACUUGAUUUUGAAUUAACAAUAGUUGAACCUUGCCUAAAUAAAAGUCCAAAUUUCUAGGAAUGGUUAAUUACUACAAUAUUCUUUAGAAAUGAAUUGUAGGAGAUAUUAUUUAGAGAAAAGUCGAAGAAAUAUCUAAAAAAUAGAAGAAAUGAGUGUAAUUGUAAAGAAUAUUGUAGAGAGUCGUUUGUAACUAUUAGAUGAAAAAUGUAUUGUCAAAAUCCUAGCACAUUCAGGGAUGCCAACUUUAGAGGGAUGUCGUAUGUAUCAAUGUAUAAAAGAGUUUCCACUAAACCAAUUUUGUAACAAUUUGAAAUAAGUAUUUUUUUUCAAUUAGCGGUGAUUCUUUGGGUAAGAGUCAAUUACUGACCUAAGCUAGUGUGUCAUUACAUUGAUGGUCGUGGAUGUUCAUGACACGAGCAUUGCGUAAGCUUUAAGUUAUGUACAUUGUAGAUGUGUUUUUUUAGUCAACACUUUGUUAAUCGAUAGACCUAAAAAUAAUCUAUCGAUGAAAAAUAUGAAAAUGUGAGACAUGAAAAUAGUCUAGCAGAUAUAUGAUAAAAUAGAUGAAUGUCUAAUAAUUAUGGACGAUAGACAUAAAUAGAGGAUGGAGCACUAUCUAAUGCAUAUAUUCUUCGAAUGCAAUUUUUGAAAGUUAAAAAAGCAAAGAGAUCUAUAACUUGUUAAAUCGGAAGUAUAUAUUUAAAUCAGUGGAUGAAAAAGUUUUUUUCUUUGAAAGGUCAUUAGGUACAAUAACUUUGGGUGGGGGUUUGCUUUGAAAAAAUAUACCGAUUUUAGUUAAGCCAAACUGAUGUGGUUUGGAUAUGGAUGAUGAAUUAACUCAACUCAUUAAUGAGAUUUGAUGGGAGACCCAUCAAAAUAUUAAUGUGUACAUCUACUUGAAUAUUACAAUGACAUGAUUUACUGUCAAUAAGUAAUGUAUCUCUUCAAUUUUGCAUAUAUCAUAUUUUGAAUAUUAAAUGAUGCCUGCGAUUUCAUUUGUAUAUUAUAAUGAGUUUUGAAAAUAAAAAAUUGAUUCUUUAGAUCAAUCCUUUUGUUCAAGAAGGUCAAGCUAUACAACCAUCAUCCACUCUUCUUUCUAUAAAUAAUUCAUCUUUUCAAUGCACACAUAGAAACAAUAGCAAUGAAGUGUUUUCCAAUAUUACCUGCCCCUUUUGGUUUAAUUGCCUUCAUUAUUAUUAUUGUUGUUGUUCUAUCCACAGCCACACCUUCAUUUUGCAGUACUCAAGAAAGUGAAUCUUUUGUUCAAUGUCUCUUUGAUUAUGGAUCUUCAAGUACAAACCCUAUUGCCAAUCUGAUUUACACUCCAACAAACUCAUCCUAUUCAUCCAUUCUCAAUUUCUCUAUUCAAAAUCUAAGAUUUUUAAACAAAGACAUCCCAAAGCCAUUCGCUAUAAUCACUCCUUUACAUGUUUCACACAUUCAAGCAGCCGUCAUUUGCUCCAAAUCCCAUGGCUUUCAAAUCCGAACUCGUAGCGGCGGUCAUGACUUUGAGGGACUUUCUUACAUCUCCGACAUUCCAUUCGUCCUGGUCGACCUAAUAAAUCUCAAGUCCAUAUCAAUUGACGUUGAAAACCAAAAUGCAUGGGUUCAUUCUGGGGCAACUCUAGGUGAGCUCUAUUAUAGAAUUUCUGAGAAAAGCCAAACACUCGCAUUUCCGGCCGGCUCUUGCCCGACGGUGGGCGUUGGCGGGCAUUUGAGUGGCGGUGGAUAUGGGUGGCUGAUAAGAAAAUAUGGACUUGCGGCUGAUCAUGUGAUAGACGCUUACUUGGUGGAUGCUAAUGGAAAAGUUCAUAAUAAAGAGUCAAUGGGAGAGGAUUUGUUUUGGGCCAUCAGAGGCGGUGGUGGAGGUAGCUUCGGGAUCGUUGUCGCGUGGAAGGUGAAGCUGGUUGAGGUUCCGGCGAGGGUCACAAUUUGUGAAGCUAACAGAACAUUGGAGGAAGAUAGAAUAUUGAAGCUAAUCCAUGAAUGGCAAUAUGUUGCUCCCAAAUUGGAUGCCAAUCUUUUACUUGGCAUUAGUUUGACCGGUAACUCUCAUAAAAAAAUUUCCUCUCAAAGACUACUUAAUCCAUCUCUUUACUUUCUCUAACAUUAACACGACAUCCUAUCAUAUAUUGCUAUACAUGAUAGAUUCUUCUUAUUUUAAAUUUUAAUUAUAUCUGCAAAAAAAAAAAAAUUACAGUGUUAUGUUCAUACUUUCUCGUUUCUUAAUCACUUAAAGCCAACGCAUAUGAUGACAUAUACAUAAUUCGAGCUCAAUUUUUUAUGACAUAAAAGGUGGGAAGGUGACUGAAGAUGAAGAAGGCAAAAUAAACCCAAUAGCUUCAUUUUCAUUAAUGUUUCUUGGAAAGGCAGAAGAAGUUUUGACAAUAUUGAAACCAACAUUUCCCCAAUUGGGUUUAACAAAAGAAGAUUGCUUAGAAAUGAGUUGGAUUCAAUCAGUUCUGUUGAUGGGUUGGUUUCAAAAAGAAGAUCCUUUGGAAGUUUUGCUCAAUAGAUCACGUCUCUAUAGUGAAAUCUCCAAAAUCAAAUCCGACUAUGUGAAGGAACAUAUUCCAAUGGUUGCAGUAAAGGGUAUGUGGGAGCGGCUAAAAUCUCAAGAUGUUGAAUUAUCACAAAUUAUGUUUGUACCUUAUGGAGGGAAAAUGAGUGAAGUUGAUGAUUCGGAAACUCCUUUUUCACAUCGAUCUGAUUAUAGUUAUUUAGUUGGGUAUAUUGCAAAGUGGAAAAAUGGGAGUGUGGAGGCGGAGAAAAGUCAUUUGAAUUGGAUAAGAGAAAUUUAUGAUUACAUGACCCCUUUUGUGUCCAAGUCACCGAGGGCGGCUUAUGUUAAUUACAGAGACCUUGAUAUUGGAACAAACAAUAAGUAUGGCAGAACAAGUUACAAACGUGCUAGGGUAUGGGGAUUGAAGUAUUUUGGAAAGAAUUUUGAUAGAUUGGUGCAUGUUAAGACGAAGGUUGAUCCUUCUGAUUUUUUUAGACACGAGCAAAGUAUACCAACUCUCAGUGGUAUUAGUAAAGAAUUGUUUAGUGCAUCUUUAUAGCGUUUUUUCUCGGCUUGUUGUACUCGAAAAAUGAAAACUAUGUUGUUUUUUUAGAAGUUAUAAUUUCAUCUCUACUCUGUUUAGAAGUAAUUCUUAAUAAAAUGUCUGUAUUAAGUAUUGAAUUUGUGUACAAUAUCAUCGAUAUAUAACAUGUCAUUGAUGUAUAAACAUGUGAUCAAGUAGACAUAUCGGACACUUUAUAUCAUCUUAAGCUUGUAUUACUUACACACUCGAAGAGAAAAAAUAAUGUGUAUUAUCAAUAUUCAACUUGAUGAUUAUACGCAGUUUGUUACUAUUUAAGUGUCAGGUUACUUCACACUAUGAUAAAUCAAUAUGAAAAGUGAAAUUCAUUAGAUUUUAUUUAGUAUUGUUUAACGACACCAAUAAAUUUAUUAUAGGUAUAAGAGUCUCAUUCAACUUGGAUAAGAAAAAAAAUUCACAUCUGACCUUUCUUUAGAAGUAGAGGUAUAUGGCAAAGUUGUCUUUUUUUUUUUCUUUUCUAUUUUUAUGUUAAUUGAGGAAGAAAUGAGAUAAUUUUAUGAAUUGAUUAGGCUAAUUGUAACUUAUGGAUAACUAAUAGCUCAAAAAAAAAUUGAAGGUCUUUCCAACCUCUAAUAGCUCGAGAAAAUCGAAGGUUGUAACUAAUGAACAAUUUUAAAGCAAAGUAAAUCAAAAAGUUCAUUUUAAAUGGAAAGAACUAAUAUUCUAUUUAAUUAUUAAUUUUACACAAAAUACAAUGAAUGAACCUAUAGAAAUUCUUAAAUGUUGAUGGCUAUAAAACCUUUUUUCUUUUCUAGCACGUAGUUUGUAGACAAUUUGGAUAGUCUUCCAAAUAAGAAAAAAUAUUUUAGUUUCAUUCCAUGUUUUCUGUGGUUGUUCAUUUUCUUUCUAUUUUUUUUUUUUUUUAUGCUUUUUAGAUGUGUUUAUUUUUAAAAUAUAUCUCUUGAAAAUCUUUUACAUUUCAUUCAUGUUUCAAGCUGAUAUACAUAUAUAAAACAUGUACUUUAGAACAUCUCCAUUAGUUGUCGAGUGUUCGAUCGAUCUACCCACCUAGAAGCUAGGUUGAUUAAAUCGAGAAGUUAUUGAGUUUGAUCCAAGAAAUCCAUAAACAUAACAUCACUAAAAAUGAAAGCAUGCAUAUCUGAAGGCUAAUACAAACAACAACCGAAAAAGAUUCCACAUAGAAAAAUUUAUCCUUAAUUAAUAGUAUGUGAAUUUAUGAAGGUAUUGUUCUUUCUUUAAAAAAAAAUUAUCUCAUGAACUGACAUCUUUAAGAAUAUUUAUAUGACAUAUAUAAGAAGAAAACUUUGAGUUUACCCUUUUUCUUAAUUAUUAGUUUUUUAUUCAUUCAUCAACUCUUUUUUCUAAAAGUUUCUAAAAUUUAAUAUGGUAAACCAAUGUAAUAUAGUUAAUUUAUCUAUCUAAAUGUUGUAAAGUAGAAUUGUCUAGCCAUCAUUAUAGUUUUAUAAGAUAGCAUGACACUUGUUAAUAACUAGUAUAUAUAUAUAUAUAACUACAAUAAUUUCAAUCUAGAAGUUAGCCUAGUUAUGGAAUUGUCUUCAAAAUUACUGCAUAUAUAUAAAAUAACAUAUCAAAUUAAGGUUUAGUGUAUAUUCAUAAUUAAAUGGAUUAUUAGUUCAUUAAUUGGUCGAAAAAUCCUAACAAAUCUUUUAUAUUUCUUGAUGUCUUGCCCCUUUUUUAAUUAAAAAUAUUUGUAUUCAUUUGAAUGAAAGUAUAUUUUUAUUUAUAUAUUAAAUGAGAAAAGUUGUAAUAAUAAUAAUAAUUGUUUUAAAAAAUACUCCUUUUUAAAUAUGAUAUAUUUUUGGUGUGAAAUUGAAAUACGUACCCAUAUUUCGAGCCACUACUUAUUUGAAUAAAAAAUAUAUUGUUUAUUUAUUUAUUAUAUUAAACAAAAGUUGAUUCGUAAGCACUUUCAGAUUGAUACUCUUUCAAAAUCUCUUCCAUUAUGUGGAAUAAGUUGUUCUAUCAAAUUAACAAAAUAAUGUAUAUUUAUUUAAUUUAAAAAUAUAUUGAAGUUAUUUAGUUCAAUAGUGAAGUAAGAAAAGAUAUUGUUUGAAUGUAUGGAUUUAUGAAAUGCAUGUUUGUAAUAAAAUAUUGAAAUAUUUGCUUUAGUUUGAUUUAACAUAAACAAUAUUUUAAACAAAAUCAUUUUCACGGGGUGUGAGGUUUAGGUCCAACAAACAUACCUCUAAAUAAAUAAUAAUAGUGAACAUUUAUUUAAUUUCAACUCCAUUAUGAGUGACAAAAUAAUAAAAUAAUUUGACUACGUUUUAAUUAUUAAGUUUUCAAUUUAGAGAUUUUUAUCCCAACUAUUUAUUGAUUAACAAAAUAAUUUGAAUUCAUAUUUAUUAAUUAAUUAAUUGAAAAGUAUGGUAAAUAGUAAAAUAUUAAAAAUAUUUACAAAAUAUAGCAAAAUUUUAUAUUCUAUCAAUCACUACAAAAAAUAUAGAUCUCUUCACGCUUAAAUUCACUAGAAAAAUGUUUGAAAAUGCAUCGGGAUAUGAACUCUCAACAUUGCAUCGGAUAGUAAUAACAUUUUGUAAAUGUUUAUUGAUAUCAUUGACAAACAUUUAUAUAAGUAUGUCUAUCAGAAUCUAUCAGCUAUAGAUUUGAAAUUUUACUAUAUUUUGGUUUACUUUUCUAUAUUUGAAAAUGCUCCAUUUCUUGAUGUUUUCUUCCAAAAAGUAAACUUUAAUUUUUAAGUUUGUUGAUCUUCUUGGCAAAUCAACCUUUAGGCUUGUUGAUCUCUUAUUUUAUCAACAUUUGGCUUAUUGAUAAGCUUGGACCAUUUUUUGGCUUGUUAAUUGAUUUGAAUCGUUCUUUGGCUUAUUGAUCAAUUUAGAUAGACCCUCUAGCUUGAUUAGCUUGGAUUAGUCUUUGACUUGUUCAUCGACUUGUAAGUAUUUUCUUCGGAUUGAGGAAGUGAUAGCACCGAAAAUAUGUUAUCUAAUCUUUAAUUCUAGAUUUUUCUAAGAUUUUAUAUUCAUAUUUGGCUAUUUUAUAGGUUUUGAGCACAUCAAAGGUAGAAUCUAGCGUAAAUCACAAAAUAGAGCUCAAAUGAGCUAAAUUAUUAGUAGCAAAUUGCAUGAAUUGAGGCUAAAUAGCGAGGAAGUCGCAAAUCUACCUUGACAACGUCACAUUACUCUACAAUGUUGUGUGCAGUGUAUUGAGGCAAUAAUGGUGCCUUUUCGUGAAAAGCACAGUGUUGCAGUGCUCCAAAGAUGAUUGUGUGUGAUUUUUGUCAAGUGACAUGGCAGUGGCGCCAUUUCCUCUACCUAGGUUGGGAAGGUCUGAUUCUAGUUGUUCCUUCACAUUUCCUCUCUAUUUCUUUGAGUUCUUAUGACUAGCUAGUUUAGGUACCGUAACAUCAACCCAUCUUUUGGCAUGUGGAUGAGGGGCUAAGGUAUCAUCUUCAGCUUAGGUUUCGUAGGAUUCUUUCCUUGCUUCAUGUAUUUGUGAGUUUUUUAACCAAGUCUUGCAUUAUAGUGAUCUAAAUUUUAAAAAAAAAUAACGUAAGUCUUAAAUUGUAGUGCUGCUUCAAUUCUAUUUUCAUAAGAUUAAAUCAUGUUUUCGUAUGCUUGUGGAUGUAUGGUUAUCGCUUUAAUUUAAUAUAAAAUUUGUGAUACUUUAUUGUAUUUUUAUUCCAAGAAGUAAUAAGUUAGGGGGCUUGCUAAUUGAAUUAGAUUUGCAUUGAUCUAACCAACUUAGGGUUGAAUCAAUCGAACCAUUAGGCUAGGCAUUUGAAAGUUAUUGAUUGUUCCAUCUAACACACUCUAGAUCUUAAUCCAGUUAGGAUAACUCAAACAAGCAUGAAUUUCAUCUUCUAGGAUUAGGCCAAUUUGUUGUUUAGGAAAAUUUAAUUGAUGGAAUUUUAGACAUGCACAAAGAAAAAUGUCGUUGAGAUUUUACCCUAAUUUUUCCUAGUUAACAUGCAUAACCCUAAACUACAUGAAUUAGAGUUUAUGAGAAAUUACCUUCACGGCUUCCAAAUUGCUUCUCUUCUAUAGAUCACAAACUUGGAUCAACACUAGUGUUGACCCACUAUUCUUUGAACGUAGAAUCAGAUUGUGAGACCUGAUGAGUGAAGGAUUAUUUGAGUGAGAGAGAUGAAAAUUGAGGAAUAAUUGAAAAGGAAUGAAAAAUUAAAACUUUGAUGACAUUUUUUCUUUUAAGUAAAUAAUAGCAAAUGGCAAAAAGUUUUUAUCCAUUUGAAAAUGGACCUUUAAAUAGAUAAAAGUCAUGCAACAAUUGCAUGUGUAAACUUACUAAAGCUCAAAACCUCACAUUCCCUUAACUCUUAGCGAACUUUGUGUCAUCACAGUGAACUUCCACUUAGCUCACUAAUGAGUUAGUGGAAUUAUGCAAAAUUGCACUUACUGUUUAUGAGAUCAUGGUCAUAAUCUGACUCUAUGAGAUAAGAGCCCACGUGACAAAGACCAUCUAUGCGAUGAGAAAAGAUUACGCGAGACCUUUGCCGCGAUAUAAGAUUUAUUUCACCUUGAUGCAGUUGGCGUCAUCCUUACAGAAAGAGGUCGGUGAAUUGAUUUGACCUUGCCACCCAAUCCAAAUUCACAAUAAAGAUUAAGUAGAGACACGAGGCAUUCUAGCAUUGGACAACUUCUCACCCCCGGCAUAAGUAAUCAUUCCAUAAUGGAAAACUUCACUCGAGAAGCUUAUAAAUAGAGAAAUCCAAUCAUUUUGAAGCUGCUUUUUACCCCGCGCUCACUUAAGAGAAAAUUUAGAAGUUUUCCAAGGUUUCAGAGAUCCAAAACAAGCCUAAAUUCGGCAAGAAUUGCAAGGAAGUACAAGAGAAAUCUUGACUAAGGAGCUAGGAGGAAAAACUAGCUUAUUGUGAUUAUGAGUGGUUAUCUUCGUAAAUAUUUUCAAAAUGAAAAGAAUUUAUAAAAUGUGUUUAAAUCCUUAAGUAGGACGGGGCGUGACACUUUUAGUGGGCUUGGUCUCAUCACAAUGAGCAUCCACAUAGCCCACUAAGAGUUAGUGUGAUUAUUCAACAAAAUAUUGGAUUUUUCUAAUAACUUUAGUCUAAGGGUAAAAUAGACAUCUUUUACCAUUUAAUUCAAAGUCAUUUUUUUAAAAUCAAGUGAACCUUUUUACUUUUUACCAUUUUAUCCGUCUUGACUAAUUUUGACCUCUCAAGUAUGAAUCGACAUUUAUUUUCAAGAAAUUCAAAUCACAGUUGAAUAUAAAGUUGGUUAAAGUUUGACUUUUCAAAGCCAAAAGUCAACAUUUUGACUUUUUCCAACUUUAACUAUUUUCAUCAUUUUCAAGCUUCCGAAGAUGAAUCCGCAUUCAUAUUUUUCAUAUCUAAAUCUCAUUUAAACACAUAGUUCUAUCUCUAAUUUGAUAACCAACGACAAUAUCACAAAUACUUGUCAGUUUCUCUCUCUUCUCACCUAAUUCAAACUAAUCCAACAUACUUUUCUAAGUUAAUUUCUUAUGAGCUAAUAGGGGAACAUAAUGGACCUAUAAAUCAUGGACUUCAACGACCCAAGAUUAACUGGCUAAACCCUUUUAGACCAACAACAUUCGUUAACUCUAACAUAUCCUUCCACUAAAUUCAUGUAGUUACACUUUCAUCACUAUAGAUAUAUUUGUGUCCAUAUGCUAUAACAAUGAUUAGUAAGUUAAUUUUUUACAGGUUGUUCAUAACCUCAGUUAGGUCAAAAUACCAUUUUAUAUUCUUGAAACUGCAUAUUGUUCCUUAAGUUCAAUUGAUCUACUAUUGAACAAUUGGUUUAAGGUCCAAUCUAUAAAUCGAAUCUCUCUUAGGUCAAUGAGAGGAUGGGGCCCCUUGUUCAAGACUUGGAUUCAUUCUUAAGGGAACAACUUAUCUACUAACCCUAAAGUAGGUAAAAGUGAAUUUUGUCUUAUACCUUAUGUCUUCAGCUAUCCACCUAGCCUUGCCCCUAAAAUAAGAGGCUUAUUUAGCCAACGCUAAUGAGCUACCCUCGCCUAUAAAGUUCUAAGGAUAAUCUCAUGUGACAAAGAGUUCAUAGUUAGUUCAGGAUUAAAAUUAAGUUACUUAGGUCAUCAAUAAUGUAAACGGUGUUAUAACGUAAAAGUGACUAUUUCAUUGUUUAGUCUUAUGUAAACUAUUUACAUAGGAUGCCCCACUUUCAUGUCUCUACAUGAACGAUUCAGGAUCACAUCGUUUGUACUAAUUACAAAGCAGGUCACAUUUUUAGUGUCCCCAAAAUAAGACGUCCAACCUUUAUUCAUAUACUAUAGAUUGUUGAGGCUAUGUACUCGAACUUUAUCCAUGUUUAUGUCUCUAUAUAAAGUUCAAGUUUACUCGAGAUAGCCUCGGAACCUUAAUUUAAUAUAUUCAAGAUUAUCAUUUUCAAUUUUACUAACCAAAACAUCAACAUCUUUAUUGAAUAGAAUAUGACUUUGAAUUACAUACUACAAGUUUUAGAAUAUAAAUUCCAACAUUAAUUAGCUUCUCUAAUUAGAUUGGUCAAGUUGGAAUCAGUGCAUUAAGUUUGGUGAUAAGAUUCUUCAAUGAACAAAUAUUGUGAAUAUGGGAAACUACGUAAAUCCCAAGCCAGGUAUUCUCAUUUUGAUUGUUUUCUUUAUUUAACUUUGUGCAAUUCCAUUCAUUUGCAAUAACUCAUCUCAACCCCCUUAUUGAUUACCCUCUUGUUGUAGACCAUUUAAUCGAUAAAUUCAUGCACACUUAGUGUUCGACAUGUCUGAUCAUGAAGAUAGAGUUAAUUUGUUGGAGUCUUUUAAACUUCAAAGCUUCAAAUAGUUUAGCUCUUUAGUUAUUCAGAAUAUAAAUGCUUCAAUCUUCGAAACACGAGAAGCUUCAAUCUUCAUCACUUGAGAGCUUGAGAGCGGUGAUUUUCAAGACUUAGAAUCUUCAGUAUUUGGAUAUUCGGAGUUUAAGUCUUCAAACUAUUAGUAUGUAUUUUGGUCUUCAAAAUCUUUUAGGAAAAUUAUGUUCUUCAAAUCUUCAUCGUGAGCAGGGUUGUAUUUUUUCUUCUUCAAAUCUUCCGAGCUUGAAACGACCUUUCUAUAUCUUCAAAGCUUGAGAUGAUGUAUAUUCUUUAAAUCUUUAAGGCUUCCUUAUUCAAAACUUAAGACCUUGAGAGAGCUUUAGAUUUUAGUUCUUCCAACCCUCGUAAGUCUCUAUUUAGAGAGAUUUCAUGGGGGCUUAUAUGGGUAUGGCCCAAUUGUUUAUUGAGCUUGAGCCCAUUCCUUUAUUUGGCCAAAUUUCCAACGUACGUGUGAAUUAGAUUGGGCUCCAAAAUUUUUAAUAAUUUAAAGUUUUCACAAGAAGGUAGGCUUUUGUUGGGAUGAGAUGGCAAAAUUAAGUUGAAAAAAAAAGAAAGAUCAAGAUACCUGAAUCUACUAGGAAAGUUGAAGAAGGUCCUAAAUUAUAAUUUAUUUUUUAUUAGAUUUUUGUAAAUUUUUAGUACAAUUAUAACCCUGAAAUAAUUAUUAAUUAUAUAUAAUUUUUUAAAUUAAACUCAAAUGAUUUUUUUAUUUAUAUUAUACUAAAUUAAUUAAGCAAAUGACAACUUCCCUAUUUGGCAUAUUAGUUAAGGUAUAACCUUAUUAUGGAAAUUAAUUAAAAAUAUUUUAUUAAUUCAAUAUAAAAAUGAAACAUUUUCCAAUAUGGAAUAAUUUAAUGAUUAAAAAUAGCAUUAUAUCAUUAUUUGCAUCAUCCGUGAACAUUCUAAGAUAAAAAUUCUGGCGCCGACGAGGAUUUUGUGUUCUUCGUAAUUCAAUUUUGGUCGUUUCUUUCAUCAAUUUUCCUGUUAUUAAUAUCGUUCUUCAGUUUAUUUUGAAAUUUCGUUUUAUAUGCAACUUCCAGUUAGUUGUCUUCUUCAAUUACUUUCUUUUUCUUCAAAUUUCAAUCAAUUACUUUCGUUUUCCUUUUCUUCAAAUUUUGCACUUUUUCGAGAUUUUGCUUACACAUAUAUAUCACUUCAUAUAUACAAUAUGGCAUAUGUAUUCUUUCUUCUUCUGUUUCGUAGCAUAUAUUUUUUUUCUUAAAAAACUUGUUCUUCCUUGUUCUGUUUCGUAGCAUAUAUUUCGGUUAUAUUCCUCCUAUUUUGUUUAAUUUUUUAUUUUCAGUUCUUCUUCCUGACAUGUUCGACAUAUCAUUAUUAUUAAAUAUCCCACCGUUCGUAAAGUCGCGCUCCGUCCCAAAGUCGCUUCUCGCAACCAACUGGAGACGUGUCGUCUAGACCUUUAUCGUGUACUCCUUACGAGGUAACGCGUUAAACCACUAGUAAGUUGAUAGACUUCUUUCACUUAGUUUAAAGCCACUUUCUUUUCACAAGGACACAAGAUACAACAACUUAACCUUUACUAACACGUCAUUGAUACUGUGUUCUCUUUUAAUUACGCGAUAGUCAACGAUAACACAACAGAAAGAAUACAGAACUUCUUUGUUAACUUAACGCUUUUAGAAUGUUUAUGAAUUACAAAUAUGACUUCCUUAGACUUUCUUAACACUGCUAUUUGGCUACCAAUCUGCAUAAUACCUUUAUCUUUCCUCGCUUACUGCCUAGUGUUAUUUCUUUAGACGAUUAUUUAAACAUGUGAGACCUUCUCUUGCUCGACUUAUUUGCUCUCUAAGAUCAGAGUUGACUUCUUAUCAUCUUAUUCUUUCUUAAUUUGCACCACUAAUGAUGCUCUCUAUGAAGGAUACCUAGAGGUGUAAAGAUGGCACUUUCUCGUCCGCCAAUUUCCUUAGUGAGUUGUCAAGUUAUCUCACCAAGACAUCUACUAUCUCGCCUCACUCUCUUGGGCGUAGGUACUUCUCCUCACUUUACUACUCUAAACGCCUAACUCUUAGCUUCCAAUUCAAACUUCUUCCUCACAAGUUAUUCUUAUCAUGUCGUUUACCUCCACGUGAUAGAUCUUAAACUUAAGCAUUUCUUCUUCGCAUUGUUUCUCUUUUCAUAUCCUUUCUCGCAAGAUGUCGCAUACACACAUGUUUGAAAUAACUUCUCAGCAAGGGUCUUCUUCAACAGGACUUUCUUUCUCCCGAUCAAGGUAACACACAUAUUCCCUUUAGCGGAAUACAUAUUCUAUUGCUAAGAAUCUCCUCGUAGCAUUCAUGCUGCAGGGUCUCUAUCGCGUUAGCGGUAUGUAAAAUCUUAAACAAUUAUUUCAAAUGUAACGAGGAACAAGAAACUGGAGAUGAUACAAAAGAGAAUGAGAAAAACAAACCAAUAGAGAGAUUGACUAUGAGAAAAUUUUGAAUUUAAAAAUAAAUUAAAAUCUAAUACGAAACUAAUAUUAAUUUCUAAAUUAUUAAGGGUUGAGAUUCAGUUAAUUAAGAUUAUUUUGAAAUAAAAACAAGCGUUGAGAUUUAGCCAAUAAUAUAGUUGUUUUGAAAUUUUAAAAAAAAAGAAGAAGAAGAAUAACGUUGUUAGAAUCUUCAACAUAAUUAUCAAAAUCCUAAGAUAUUAGGAGGAGGCUAUGAUAAGGGUUGGAUACCUUAUUAACACAUCAAAAUUAAUUACAAACUCAUAAAUGCAUAUCACAAAUUAAUUAUACUUAAGAGACUUUUGAUAAGAACGCAAAUAUUGAAAUAAUUAUUUUUCGUGAAUGUGGGUAUUUUGGUCCGGUAUAAAAUAUCAUGCACGUGUGGCACUUAUAAAAUCAUAUUAGUUGGUACUUUAUUUCUUUAAUUACAUGAACAUUAAAUUAUAGACCUCAAACACUAGUAGUGAUAGAAAUUAUACUUUAAUUAAUGUUAUUUAGUGAAAUGAAUAUGUUUUGGUUUGAAAUUCUUUUUAAACACAAAUAAAUACAAUGAUUUUUUAAUUAAGCAUAUGAUAAUUGACAUCAACCCGAUGCGUUUCUUUAAGGCAUUUUUCUCACUAAAAAGCGAAGAUUCUUUUAUGUAGAAGUAUACAACACAUAAGUCCAAAUCUACUAAAUCAACGACAUUAGAUGAACAAUUUGAAGUUCUUGAAUGAGAAACCCAAAAUAGGAAAAUUUGAUGAACAAGAUAGGAAAUGAUCGACAACAACAGAAAUAUGAUCAAAAGAGGAAUCGAAAACAAGGAACAACAACCACAACACAUCUUUGUCUUCAACAAUAGUAAUGACAUUAGGAUUGCUGCAACCAUCAAGAUGCAAUGUAAUUCGAGAAAUUAAAUAUUCAUAAACGGAAAAAUGAUUAGAUUGAAUUAGAUAAACAAGUUGGUUGAAAGAUGUGUUCGAUGGAACAUGCACUUCACCCAAAUGAAAAUUAUGAUAAUGGUUGUGUUUAUCUCAUCUACCAUAGACCAAUACUUUUAAAAGUUUUAGAGUAAAAUCCAAUUAACUGAAUUUUUGGAAUAAGUCUUAAAAACUGGAAUUUUUGGACUCACACUUGAACGAUUGAGUUUAACCCUAUGUUGUGUUGUAAGCAUCUCUUCAUGUGUGUAUAUAAGAACUGUAGAAAAGAAAGAUAGUUCACCAAAUUUUUAUUCAUUACAAGAAAGAAUCAAGAACAAAUAAUAUCACAGAAUUCCUUAAAAAAGGAAAGAAACUUCAGACAAAUUAAAUUACAAGAAUAAUAAUCUUGCAAAAGAAUUCUCUCUCUCACCCCCACAAUUCAAAAUAAUCGAUAUAAUAAACUUCAUAUGAACAGAGCAAAAAAGAAGAAAAACAAUACAAAAUCGCACUCAAAUUUUUCAUGGUUUUUCAUAAUCUUUUUCAUCGAUCACUUUCUUUGAUUUACUCAAUCUUCUUCGUCUUGAAUCGAUACAGAACCCUCUUCCUCUUGUUGGAGAAAUUCUCAACAGUUAGAACAAUCUUCCCAGGCUCACUGUUCCUAAAACUGUUCCUCACUGGUUCUUCAUUUCCACUCAUCUUCUUCCCCUUUUGAACAAUAAUGGUGUAUGAUCCUUCAUCAGUGGGCACAAAUUCUUCUUUGUAAUUCACUUCCCAACCAACGACAGUCAAAUCCCAUACCAGAUUGCUCUCUCCCUGUUUCCAAAUUCACAAAAUGUAAACACACAGGAGACUUAUGAAUGAAUGAAUGAAUGAAACAACAAUGUUUGAGAUUUGAAUAUUUGAGUUGUGUAUAUGCGAUAAAAUAUAACGUCUUUAGCUGCUCAAUUUCAGAUUUAGUUUAGUGGAAGCUGUGAUUUUAAUGAAUUACCAGAGGUGCUGGAAUUUCAAUGGAAGCUGUUGAGCCAGCCUUGAGGUUGAUCUCUGAAACGGCACCAUCUUCCGCAGUGAACUCGCAAUCGUUGUCUCGUUUGAAGCCGCCGUAUUGGACAGGGAUUUCCUCUGCUGGAAUGUACCUGUUUGUUCAACAAUGGAGUUCUUCUUUUAGCCUCACGUUUAGGAAAAUUUUACAAGAGUUGAAUGAACAACUAUGAAGAAAAUUAACUUACUUCAAAAGGGUUUCCGUUACUUUUGCUGGACGAGCCACUACGAACUUGCUCUUGGUUCUUUGAGUUAAAAAUGGCGAAAGCAGAGCAUUCAGAGCAUAGUACCAAAAUGGAACAUUGAUGAAUAUCUACAAAUUCAAUAAGAACAUCAAUAAAAAAAAUCUCAAAUUAAUACUUACUCAAAAAGUUAUUGAAUCAAAGCUUUGAAAGAAAAAAAUCCUUACAUUUUUGGCGACCAAUUCAGGGUAAUUGUCCUGUAAAAUUCCCACGGCUUGUUUUGUGGCAAUUCUCAGCUCUUUCUUUGCCGGUCCCGGAGAAUUCUUCAAAUCAUUAAUUUGAAGCAAAGAAGAAACUCCACCAGGUUUCAAAUCAAGCUUUUGAAUCCCUUUCUCCAUAACUUGACAUCUCCAUCUCAAAAACUGUUCUCUCUUCUCCUCUGUUCCAAAUGUUUUCUGAUAAAGCUCUUCGUUUUCGAAUACUCCAAAUACAUUGUAACAAACCGGGUGUCCUUCGUGAUCAACACCGUUCAUCAGCGCUGCAGACUCGAGAUCGGAGGCGAAUUCCUCCUUCAAGAUGGAAUCGAUGUUGGAUUUCUUCCUCCAUGAAAGGGUCUUUUGGAGCAUUUCGAAUGCUUCGUUUACUUUGAAUUCUCUUGCUCUUAAGAACUUCAAGAGAAUCACAUCGGUGCUGUCUGUUCCUUUGCUUGGCAACAGAGGAACACCCCACAGAAAAACCUCCUUUUCCACAUCGGACUUUUCAUCACAUGUAUUUUUCUCUUCGUUAAUUUUUUGGGUUUGUUCAUCAGAAGGAUUUGAUUCCUCCUUCUCCUCCUCCUCCUCCUCCUGUGGUUUCUUCUCUGUUUCUGUCUCCUUUGUAACGGGUUCAUCUUCUUUGAUGAGAUUGUUCCCAAGAAUGGCUUCCUCAAGUUUGGACUUAAGCUCAACUAAAGCUUUCUUCUCGAAUUCCUUCAAAUCAGAGAGAUGGUUACUUUCUUCCUUGUAAGAAGAACUCUUCUCAAUGACAGUAGGCUUCAACACUUGAUCCUCCACAGUCUUUACACCACAUUUCUCAUCUCUUACUCCUUCUUCUUCAAUAACAACCUUCGUUGGCUCUUCCGGAACUUCCAUUGCAGCAAUUGAAGCACCUUCAACCUUAACAACCUCCACAGUCAUGGCGAUUACUUACACAGAGAAAAUCAAACUGCAAAAUCGAAAUGAUCAAUUUAAUAAAAAAAAAAAAAGUAGAUAAAAAAGGAAAUAAACAAAAUUAUAAGAAAAAGGAGGAGGAGAAGCGAACCCAAGGCUUUGAUUGAGGAGGAGGAGGAGGAGGAGAAGAAGUGAUAGAAUUGGAAGAGAAGAAGGGUGCAAGGGUUAUAUAAAUUGAAAUAUAAAAAAAGAAAAAAAAAAAGAAAAGAAAAGAAAAGGCGAGACAGCAACGGUAACAUACCUGGUAUCCAACGAAGAGGAGCCGUUGGGAAUCUUUUUAUUUUUCUAAAUAUUAUUUAUUUAUUUUACGGGUAAUGCUAGCCUGGAGGCCAGCAGUUUCUGCUUUCAUUGCGAUCGUUUAUUGGACGGCUCAGAUGGGGCUGGAUCCUAGGUGGAAAAACCUCUCUCUUUUUUAUUUUAUUGGAUCCUAUCUCUUUAACAACUACAAAGUUUUUUUGUUUUUUCUUCUCUUUCUUCCUUUUUUCAUUUUCUGUUGAAUUCGUCAAUUUCCCAAUUUUCCAUCAUAUUAUUAACGUUUCUUAAUACUAUUUUCCUUUUCUAUAAAUAAUUUAUUCAUCUGCUCAAAAUAACUCCACUCUUUUCCUCAUGUUAAAUUUUUAUUCCACAUUUUUAUAUUUAUUUCUAAAAAUCAUACCAAUCUCUAAAAUUACGGCUAUAAACCGAUUGGAUUUAGGGUUAUUUUUACACCAACACAAAUUUUCGAGUUGGUUGGAUUGGCAACGUGAAUGACUUGAGAAGCAUUUUCAACCCUAUUUUUGGGUUAUCCGUUUGUAUAAUAUUUUUUCUCAUUUCUAAUAUAUAUUAAAUUUCAAAAUCAUUAUAACAUCGUACCAAUAAGGUUACAUAUCCAAAAACAUCAAUAAAGUACAACAUUAAUGCAAUAAAUAUUAACAAAACUUUAAAACAUCUAGAAUUACUUAAGAAUGGUCUAGUAUGAAUCAAACUUCUAAAAUCCAAAAACGUUAUGAGUAUCAUCCUAUAAAACUUAAUAUAAAUAUAUGUAAUAUCAUUAUUUUGGAUUGAAUUAGGUUGAAUCGAAUUUUUCAAAACUCAACUCCAAGAAAAUAAAAGAAAAAAAAAAGACCUAACACAACUCAACUAUGGGGUAAUAUGAGUUAUUUGGGUUCUCAAGUUAUUCUUAGACAAUUCAAGUUUAAAAUCAAACAGAAUCAACUUUGAAGAUAUUUUAAAUCUAUUUUUAAAAUUUAUGAGACUAAAAGGUAUCUUCUAAAAAUACAUGUCCAAAUGAAUCUAUUAAUAUAAACUUAGUGACUAAAAAAUAGGCAUCUAAUAUUCGGUUGUCAAUCGAUCAAAAUUUUGAAACUGAAAACGUAAUUUUUCCAAAAGAAAUCUACAAAAUACAAAAAACUAACACAAUUUGAUGUUUGCUUUAGGGUGUUUCAAGACGACCUCUUCUUCUUGAUAAUAUUUCUCAUGAAUCGGUUUGUUUGAUGGGUAAAUAUCUUUUUUGUUUUUAAAAUAAGUUAACAUGUUUAUUAUUUAUUUUAUUUACCGUAUUAAUUUUUCAAUUAUUAUGUUUUUUUUUUCCAUGACAUAUUAGAAAUAUCGAUAUAUCCAUUAUACUGAUGUUAAUGUGCUAUAAAGAUAUGGAAAUAUAAAUCACCUAUUUCAACAAAAAUUUAAGAUCAUAGUAUUAGCAUAUAAAAUUUGAAAUGGUGUUGAUUGUAAACAUGGCCUAACUAAAUGAAUUAUAUUUAGAAUGACUUUUUAUUUGGUGCUUAUCUUUUAUAUUCUUCCCAAUGAUUAAGUUUUAAUCAAUGAGAGAAUGAGGACAGAAAUAAAAACAUUUAAAAGCUUAAAGAACAUGCUUAAUUUUGUAAUAUAGUUCUAGUUGAUUUAUUUUAUUUUUUUGGAAGAGAAUAAAUGUUUGAAUAGUUCUAUUUUUUCAAGAAUCUUGUACAAAAACACAUUAUAGUUUUACAAGAUUUUAACUGUUAUCUUUAUUUUUAUUAAUAUUGUAAUAAUUGAUUUUUUGUUCAUAAAUUGCUGGAAUAGCUCAGCUGGUUAGAGCGUGUGGCUGUUAACCACAAGGUCGAAGGUUCAAACCCUUCUUCUAGCGGUUACCUUGGUGAAAGUAAGAUGGUUUGGAACUGAAAAUUUGUCAUUUUUAUUCAAUCUCGGACAUACGUUGCCAUGAGAUGUCAUAAGAUAAAAGAAAAGAUUAUUGAUACACUAAUAGACCUUAUGAGAAAUCUUUUGUUAAGUUUCAAUAUCUAUUACAAUGUUUGUUAUCAAUAUUUGGUAGAGUCUAUCUAUCAAUAUCUAUCAUUUGAUAGACUUUAAAAUCUUACUAUGUUUUGUAUAUAAUGUUUGUUAUCAAAUUAGGUAAUCACAUUUAGAGAACAAUAUUGAGUUUAACGUUAAAAAGAUUAUAUUUGAUGCUCCCAACACAUAAUUGUUAAAAUAAUAUAUUAUUAAUUAAAAAGAAAAAGAUGAAAGAGAAUAAAGUUGAAUUUAGAAAAGGAAACCAUAUGGCAAAGCAUCAAUCAUGGAGUGGAGAACAGACAAUGAAUUUAUAGUCAAAAUUGUUUUGAUUUGGAUGAUGAGCUGGAAUCACAACAUUGUCUCUUAUGUUUCUUCCUUCUCAUCAACCCAUUCAAACCCCACAUGUUUCUCCAACAUAAAUUUCAUAUCAAAAUAAUUUGAUAAAUUAUCAAAAUAACUCUGGUUUGUUUUAGUCCUCCAUUCGUUCGAACAAAAAUUUCUUUAUCAUUUUGCUUUAAGAUCUCAAAUCGCUUUAUACAAGUUUAGAACAGAAACUUACAUAGAAUGGGGCCAAGAUAGUGUUCUAGUGUAACCUAUUGUUUCAGUAAUGUUGUAUCAAAAUUUCCUAAUAUAACACUACAUGCAGCCAUCAACUUAAUAAUUUCCUCUUGCAUCCUAUGGAUCACCCAAAACAAAAUGACAUUGCUAAAUAUAUAUGAAUUGUACGUAUGAAUUAGCGGUUGGCAAUGAUCGACAAUUCACAGUAUUGCAAGUGGAUGAAUGACCUUAAACAAUACUUGUGAAGGCCUUCCACACCAUACCUCCUUUCAAGAAGAUGGUUUCUUAAGUUUCACAUCUCCAGCAGCAUCCAAGAAUUCUCCGGUUACCCUGAUGAGCACAUUGACACAGCCAUUAUCGAUCUUUUAAUAGCGGAUAUACAGGUAACAAAGGGUUUCAAAUAAAAGUACAUUGAUAAAGUGACAUGCUGAUAAAUAGAGAAUAGAGGGAGCGUUUUGCAAUUUGCAUGCCACUCGAUGACAACAUAAGAAAGAAUGCAUUUUUAGAACAUUAAAACAAUUGGAGUUUAAGCAUAAUAAGUAAAAAAUCCUCUUGUGGUUAGAUACAUCACUCCAGAAAACAAUAGAAUUGUACAAGAGAUCCACAGGUAAUGAUUGUCAAUCGUUUACCUCGCAAUCAUUGGGCUAAUAAUGAAAGCAAAAAUGGUCUGUGUUUCUCACAAACCAAACAUCUAGGUAGAUUUAGAAAGAAUUUAUGUUUUGUUCUUUGAGCACCAUCAAGGUUGGGUUUCUGAAAAAAGAAACACAGAUAGGUAUUAAAAGAACCUAUUGGGUACCUGAAAGCCUCCACUGUCAGUAUUUCGACUAUCAAGGGAUCAACAUUCAGUCAAUCAACCCUUGCAGCAAAUGAUCAGGCUAAGGUUGCAUCCGAACUCAAUAAUUCAAUAAAAAAGGGGAUCCAGUUGCAUUCCAAAAGAUUAGAGGGAUAUUCCCUGUUCCUUAAUCCCUCUAACGAGUCCUUAACAUUCUGACUAGUGACUACAUGAAUUAUUCAGAGUUAUAUAAGAAAUCCCAUGUUCUGUUGAUGGCACAAGGGGUGGCUUUUGUCCACAAUCGUCUCAAAGUCUAACUCUAAAAGACAACAAUCAAUCUUAGAAGGAAGACUAGUUUCGAAGAUUGAACUCCAAGACAUUUUACUGGUGCAAGUUGUAAACUCGACUAUCCAACCAUUAAGGACUAACAGAAUACUAUUAGCAGCAACGCUUUAAGGCCGCUGUCCACAAAGAAUCUGAUGGGAUACCAGCUAUUCCCACUUUCAAUAUAGAAAGAUGAAGGAUACUCGAUAUUACUAAGAUGAAAAUUGCAGAAAAAAAUACAGAACACUCUCACCGAAUUGGUUAUGAGCCCGUUCGAUGGAUUCCUUUCCCUCUCCUGCUAUCCUAUCUUUCAAGAAUAAAACAGUAGGAUUCUUUACUACCAAAAACAAAAACUGCCCGUUCUCUCUUUCUCUCCCUUAUUUAUAUUCACUCCCCCCACCUACAGUGGUCCCUCUUGUAUCGUGCGUCGCUCCACUCAUCUGUGGUCCCCACCUACAGUUGGUUACAUAACUAACUCCCUCUCCUGCUUCUCUUUCCUAUUCUUUCUCCUACUGUAUUGGUGUAUGAUGGGUGGUCUAACAGAAUCUCUAUAACUGACAGACUGGAUGCACUUCCAAGUUCAACAAAAGCACCAUAAUCUUUUUGGCAAAAUUACUCAAGGCAAAGACCCCUCAGAUUCUGGUAAAGAAACUGUUUAGUAUGUGCAACAUAUCUCAUCAAACAAUUUCUGAAGGGUGGGUUGUUCCUUUCGAUCCAUGGUAACCAAAAGAGUUCUUUAUUAAUGUGAAGCCAAGGAUGUUCCCACACUUCUUUGAAAGGAUGACUAGGGGAGCCAUGCUCCAAUUAUAUUAAAGGAUAGUCCUUUUCAGACUGUGGACCAAUAACUGUCACCAAACGGGAAUGCGAGGAAAAACUGUACCCAUUACUUGACAUCUUGCAUAUAAUGCACCAACAAGGAGAGAGGGCUAGUGUGGGGUACUUUUUCUGAAUGAUUUUAUGUUUAUUGAUUUCAGUGUGCCAUGUGUAUCAGUAUGAAGUCCUUGUUGCCUAGGCUGAUGAUUGACCAAAACUUCAAGAGAAUAUUUUAAACACCAAGGCUUAAGCAAUGAAUCCCGUCUGCAGAUCCUUCAAUAAGAAAUUGGCCAAACUCCAAAGUACACUAAGUGUGCAAAACCAAAAUGAAUAACCAGUUUGUAUCGUAGUUGUUAUAAAAAAUAAAAGAAACGGUUUGCUUUCAAAUACAUUGUUCAAAAGACUGAGAAAAUGUUGCUACGUAAUGUUUUUUUCCAUAAAACUCUUAUCAUUAAGGAUUUUUAUGAUGUUCAGUGUUCAACAUCCUUAAUUUCAAGAAAGCAUAUACAACAAUUCAUCACCACAAGUCAGAAACAAGAUGUGAAUUCCUGAAAAACUUUGGAAAAAAAAUCUUCAUAUACCUAUUAUAUUCCAAAUAAGCUUCUCCAAUUGUUCCUGCAACCUUAUUUCUCACUUUCCGUACACAUACCUACAAGUAGCAAGGAUACAAAGAAAACUAAUGUACACAGAAAAGAAAGAAACAUAUUGUUUUUAUAAUAUAUCUGCAAUUGUACCUGUACGAGAUCAAUAGGACCACUUUCAGGAUCCCUAUUACGAUGAAUAACAAUUCCAUUAUCACAUUUGUUUAUGAAGUGUGCACUUCCACUUAUAUCAUACAUAUUAGGUGGACUUCCAGACCAGUUCUGCAACUGUAUACAGCAAGAAAAAUUGAGAAAGAAUGAGAAGCCAGAAAAAGAAAAAACCAAAACAAAACAAAAGAAACAAAAGAGAUACAAGAAAGACUGACAUCAAUGUGACAGAUGUCACGAAUAUGCAAAAUAUAAGAAUUCAAGAAAAGAAGUAAAACAAAGACCGGCAUUGGUUUUUACUUUGGGUGGCAAAGAUAUUUGAGUUCCAAUUUUUUCUUUUUCUCGAGUCAAUAUUUGUCAAUCAUUGUAGAACCGAAUAAUUGGAUUUGAUUUUGGUUAAGAUCUAUGAAAAUUUAGGAGCUUAUUGAUAGAUACCUACAUUUAGAUAGGGCCAAGGGUAGGUAGUUAAGGCAGUUAGAUGGUUAUAAAUAGGGAGGUGGGGAGGGAAGAAGAGCAUGAAGAAUUUGGUGAAGAAUUAGGGCUGCAACAUUACUUGAAAGAGAGGAAGGGCAGAGGGUUAGGGUUUUUACUUUUCUUUUACUUCUUUUACAUUGUAUCUGUGAAGGUAUCAAUAAAAUAGAAACACUGUAUCGGUGUUCUAUCACUUAUCUUACAUUUAUAGGACUAAUUGGCAUUACUUGCUUGGAAUUUCCCUUCAAUCAAGGAAUCUUCUCUUCCUAGGCCCCACAAGUGAUGUUCUUCUACUAACCUCUUUUUUGUGGACCAUUCUCUUCCUAGGAAGCUUUCCAGGAAGUAACUAUCCUUGGUAAGUUUUAAUGUCUCUCCUUGGGCAUUCAUGGCAAAUUGUCAGAACCCUUUGUUUAUUAGUUUGAUUAUAAUUUGCCUGAUUUGAAAACCUUUAUAGUGCUCCCUUCUGUGUGCCUUUUUUUUAACUAUAAAUAUCUCCUUGUAUUUCUUUUCUUCCUUUAUAAAGUAUUUUAUCAAACAAAAAUGAAAAUUAACAGUUCAAAAACUAACCUGCCUAGGAUGUGCAACAAACCAAACAUGGCAACCAUGAUGUUGAGCAAACCGUUUGACCUUAGUAAGCAUCUGGCUCACAUACUCUGUUUCAGUUCUGUCACAAAAAAACUUCAAACUUCUAGUUAACUGUACAAUAAAAACAAAAGGCGAAAAGCAAAGGUCAAAUUUUGUAGUUUAUAACUUUCUGCAAGCAAGCCAGGAAAAGAAAUAAAUGAAUUUUUUGAACCUAUAAAAAGUUGAUAUCUAUGUAUCAUACAUAACACAAUAAUGCUUGGAUUUUGGAAGACACCUGGAAAUUUUACCAUCCUUUCUAAGAGCAUAGGAAAAAUAAGCAAGUUGUAGAGCUGAAGAGUUUAGGGUUGAGCAAACCCUAAACUCAAUCUGGCUAUAUGAUUCAAACAAUUCACAGGUCUCGUUUAUGUUUGCAGUGCUCUUGAAUGUUUUUUAUUUUUUGAAAAGGAAAGAAAUAUAUUUAUAUAGUAGUCGAGACAAUGCUCAAUAUUGGAUACAAGGGAGUCCUAAUAAUACAAAGUUCCAUUUUUGAACACCUGGAAAAAAGUACAAGAAGCCAUAAUCUAAUUAAGGUAUUAAAACAUAAAGAUAUUAAACAGGGGAAAUAAACACGUUCCAAUUAAGAGAGAUGUCUUGGAUGGUGUAAUCAGGAAACGAACUUUGAGGAAGAGCACCACGAGAAGCCUAGCAAACGAGCAGAGGCAAAUCGAUCCGACCAGCCAAAAGAUUUGUCAUGAAAAACUCUUUGAUUUCGCUCAAACCAUAGUUAUGAGAGGAUGGCUUUGACCGCAUUUGACCAAAGAAUUUGCGGUUUAGAUGAUAAAUUUGGACCGCCAAUCACCUAAUAUACAUCAGCUCUGAAGGAUGGUUCGAAAGCCCAUUUAAGGUUGAAAUAAGACAAUAGCUUCCACCAGCAAUUUUUAGAGAACGAGCAUUCAAAGAAUAAGUGUUGAAGAUCCUCUGCAGAAGCACAGCAAAGUGGACAGACUGAAGGAGAAAAGGAAAGGUCUUUUACCUUUGCUUAAGAAGUGGUUGAGAAGUUUAGAGAUCCGAAGAGCAUAAUCCAUGUUAGAAUGUUGAUUCUUUUGGGACUUUUGGACUUCCAAAGGGCUUGAAAUAUGAAUUUCUCUAGGGGCGGUGGAGCUAUUAAAAAUUUCGAUAGGGAUUUCACUGUGUAGUAGAGUUAUUUAAUUCGACGCCAAUUAGUGAACUAUGAAAGUUAAUGACAAAUAUUGGAACUGCUCCUUCGGAGCUUACAAAGUUAAAUUAUCAGCAAGUUUUUUUCUCAUUACAUCUGAGACAAAACACUCUACCAAGGGAAUAAAAGGAUGCAAAAUCUUUUCAGGAAUACACGGGAUCAUAACAACCCAAAAAUGAAUAAAUAAAUAACAGGAAAAUAAAAAAAAUUAUCACUGAGAUCAAUGAAACCAUAGCCAUCAGUCAGUGGUUGAAAACUACAGGAGAUAUCAUGGGUUACUGCAUCUUCAAAGAACAACAUAAUGAUAAAACUCACUGAUUUGGAAGCCGUUGAUGGUCAAGCUCAUUAUAAGGAUCAAUUACCAGUCCAGAAACUCCAUGCCUUAAAACUGCUGCUUUUGCAAGAUCCAAGACCCAACUAAUACUUGGGAGGGAAUCCUUUUCAGACCUAGUCAGGUUAAAAAGAGAAAUGACACUUUCAAAGGCACAUCAAAAGGUUUAUAGGAGGUAAGGAUGAAAGAAGGAAACAAAACAAAAUUAUUGUGAUUAAAAUGGCAUAAAAAUCAAUUUAGUAAAAACGUCCAUUUGUAGUGCACUUGGUCAUUUAGAGAGUUGAGUAUAACAUGCAAGAAGGUACAACCGUCAUCAGAGAGCUUUGUUUGGACCUUUAUCAACUUUCCUCCUUGUCCUGAUCUUGGUAACUUUUGCAUUGAAGGAAGUUUUCCCAUCAAAGCAAAUAUUGAAGGAAAUUUUAAGCAUAUCAACAAAAAAUUGGUAUUUAUUAUUUAGUACAUGACAUUACUUUGGGUUGGAAUUGCAUCGAAUAUUAUAAAAAAGUUCCUGAAAAAAUUACAAGUAGAGCACAAAACAAGAUCUGAUCAUGCCAAGGACAUUUUCUUCGAGCCUUGUUGCACUCUUUGACAUAUCAGAGAACUAAUAACUGCUAACUGUAUUUAAAACAAAUAAUAAUGUAGAACUAGAAUGUUAAAUAGAUAUUAAAAAAAAUUAACGACUGAUAUAUAUCUUUUAUUUUACGAACUUAAGAUUAGUCUUUACACAAACUUGCAAUGUACUUGUAACUUAAGAUGUGCACUGCUGGUAGUAAUAUAUGAAUAUUAAAAAUAACCAACAAGAUAAUACAAGGACUUUUCCAUUUACCUUAAAAGAAAAAAUGUAUCGUCUAACCAUUGCUUUCCUUGCUCCAACUCCUCAUCACUCAAUCGUUCAACAGAGCCACCAUAACUAGAGAUGGCAAAGAGAGACAAUGAUAUUAUUGCAGAAAUAUUGAGGGGGAGAAAAUGAUUGUGGGUUAAUUUGAAGACUAUCUUCAAAAUAUUUAUAAUUUUUGUUUUCCAAAUUAAACGAAAAUUUCAUUGAGAAAAUUUUUCCGAACCAUUAUGAUGAGAAAGUUUGUAAAAUUUAAGAUCAUCGUAUGACUCAAGCCAUUAUUCAUAAGUGUUCGAAAACAAACUAAAACAAAAAUAGGAGAAAGCUUUCGCUGAACUUUUUAAUCUAAGGAAGAUAUUGGUUUGAACAAUCUCCCCAACAAGCCCUUCUCAUUUAUAUGCAAAUACUGCAAAUAAUGUACUUUGACACUCCAACGGUCCAACCUAUAACAUUCUCAUGAAACAAUUACAUAUUGCACAAAGGCCAAUUAGAAUAUAAAUCGAAGAUCACUGUACAACUUUUGUUAGAGAAGGUUAAAGAACAACCUAAGGACCGGGAUAGAGAUAACCCCCACCCAAGGAAGGCUAAAGGAAGAACAUAACGUUACUCAAAAACCCUAAAAGAAAAAUAUAUGGAAUAGGCUAGAUUAAACAUUACUUAGAGGAUCAAACAACAAGGGAUUAGACAAAGCUUGUGGCUCCCAUCAACCCUUCAUCUUUGAAUCACUCCACAACCAAAGAUCGAUCAAGUCAAGCUUGAAUGAUUCUGAACAUGCAACAUAAAAGUCAUAAAAUUGCAACUAAACUUAGCUCUAGGCUAAAAGAAAGCUCAAAGGCUCUCUUUCAAUACAUAUUUACGGGGCUUUUCUCUCAAUAUGAAUUUUAUGGCUUUAUAUAACCUCAAAAUAAAACUCUAGGCAUUCGAUGAGGCAUUUCAAGAGUUGUAACAACCAUAAUCAGCCAUGAUAAAAAAACAAACAAAAACAGUUAAAACUGAAGAUACAUUUAAUAGGCAUCAUAAAUUCAAAAACUUAAGUUUUUUGGUAAGCCCCGAAAGUUCGUGUAAUCUUCCAUGUGUAAAUGAAUGUUCAAUUGAAGUAAGGAUAGUUUCUUGAAUUUGAUGCUUGAAUUGCACAAAUUGAAGCUUGAGAUGCAGUUUAGUUCAUUUAAUUCCUGCUUCAUUUUAUUUUAUUGUAAUCUUCAGCACAUGAAUAAGAUGGCCUGGUUCAUAUCAUUUCAGGUAGGAGGCUCUCUUUUUAUCUUGUCAUUUAUAUCUAAUUGGAGCAACAAAGUAUUGAAUCUUAAUAGACUGUAGCAGAAAGGUACUCUCUACUCUACCACUUUGAACUCAAAAUCGUAGGGUUCAAAAUGAUGGUUAUAGGAUCAAAGGUAAUGAGAGAACAAAAAUUACAAUCUAAGCCUUACCGUCCAACAAAGAAAGGCUUCUUGAUGUGCUUCUCCAAUAGUUUUCUACCAUGUUCUCGAACCUAAUCAUAAUUCAUCAAAAUAAAUUUACAUUAAAACAGCAUACAAAAAGGAAGAAAAAUUAACAAAUAACAUCUGUCCGAUUUCCUUAUUUAUUAGGUAUAAAUAUUAUUUUUCUACGUCUGUGACAAAAGUUAUGUCAUAAAAUAAAUGAAUCUCAUUCAGACAGAGAAAGUACAAAGGAAUGUGGGGUCACAAAAAGGGUCUCCAGCUGGUCAUGGAAACAGUGACACUAUACUAAUCACCAAGUAUUAAAAACUAUAAGAUCAUCUUCCAAAACUUGUUCCCCUUUACUCUCUUCUAUUAUCAGUUUAUGUUUAGUUCUUUCAUAUUGUAGGCUGUUUCAUAUACAUAAUAUAACUUACUGCAUCCACAUAUGCUUCCUAAACUAAUGCUUCCAGAGGUUAUCCCAAUAACCUAACAUUGAAAGAUGGCAAAAUGAAUUCUGGAAAGAGAAAGGAGAAGUUAUAUUCGUCAACCUAUCAAUUUAACUUAAGAGAAACAAUGUUUCAUUUUAAAGGCAAUAAUUCACACACUAAGAUAACAUUACCGAAGCACACUCAGAAAGCAACCUACCACGUGUCAGAAAUAACUAAAAAAAAUUGUUUGCUUGAGUGGUACUUGUAAGCAUAAAAUGUUAUAAAAAAUUAAUUGUUUCAACACCAAAAUUAAUUUUGGUACUACAAUGAAAUACAGAUAUGGAAGUCAUAAGAGAAACAUCCAAAAAGC